rnacentral:lncRNA from 1 species
UUUUUUUUUUGUGAUCUAUCAGACUGAUGCCUUGAAAUAGUAAGAAUGGUGUGCCAAUCAAACUUGAGCUAUAUUGUUCUCCUUCAUUGACUAUGGUCUCAUAUGUACAAAGGAAGAGUUGUGCUUUUUCGAUGUCAAUGGACUAGGUCGAAAAGGAAUUGACAGUUUUCUUGAAUUGUAGUUGGUGUAAUUGUCUUAAUGGCAAGUUAUAUAGACAAAAUUUUCUUGCUUGGAAAAUGAGGUGCUUGAUGUACGACACAAGCAUAUUAGGCAGAAAAUCGUAAUUAUGUUACUUAAGUGGCACACAAUUCCCCUUGCUAAUGGGAGACUGCUGAUCUGGUAUAAACUAUCUAUUUUGGAUAUCAAGGGGGCAGAUGUCAAUGUCACAUUUGAUCUUGCAUCUUUUCUCCCUGUUUUCUAUGAUAUUUCCUGUUAAGCAUGAACUAUUGGUCAUUAACAAUGAUUUAGCUGCAAUGAAUGGUGUUCCACAAAAUUUAUUUAUACAUUUUCGGUAAUCGCAGCUCUCACCAAUACAAAUCUGUAUUGUGACUGAAACAUUUCUUAAUAGGAACUUGGUGAUAUGUUUGCAGACAUUGGUGAAAUUGUUCGUGCAAAGUUUGAUUUCGACGCUGUGGGACACUUAUGUUUGCAGACACUGGUGAAAUUGUUGGUGAAAUUGUUCGUGCAAGCGCUGUGGGACACUACACACAGGGCUGAGGUGCUGAGCUUGACCGCGAAUACCGAUCUGAGACACGCUGCGUCUUUCGCUUCUACUGACGGACAAGAUCCAAGGCACAAGAGUGACAAUGUUUCGAGGACCUGAUUGAUGACCAGCAACCUUUCCGUAUCUGUGUGUAACAAAGUCCAUGUUGGCAUUACAUCAAUAGUUGUGCUUUUGUAUUUCUUGUAAGGGCAUCUACAAUACAUACAUACUACAUUCAUUUACCCCAAUGACUGUUGAUUUUGAAAACCAUUCUAGGGUUGGAAUAUUUUGCCUUUUUUAUUUGAAUUUAUAAGAUCUUGGACCGUCGAUUCGUGAUCAGAUUGCUAGGAGUAUUCUACUAACAACCUUGGCUGGCACAAAGAGUAUAAUGCAGGAGUACAUAUCAGUGAGGAAAACCAGCUUUGGUGCAGAGCCACAAACAUGGAAGGGGAUUCUCAUUUCUCUUCAUCUAGUUUAAGUUGCCUUUGGAACAAUUAGAUCAGGAAAACCACGCCUUGCGCUACAAACCAGCUCAAGAGAGGAUAGCCAUCAGGUCAGAUACCCUCAACACGAUGUAGUUUGUGCCAUCGGCACCCUUGAACUCGGCGCCAGCAUACUUGGAGUACAGAACGGAACUGCCUGUGGAUACCGGCAACGGGAUACUCUUGCCUUCCUCGUCCAGAUGGCCCGGGCCGACAGCGACCACCUGUCUCCGACAAAUGAACAUGGCAUUAGCUCAAAAGUAAGAUUGAUUCGGACUAGAUAGAUGCCAAGGUACAGUUGCAAUAUGAUCCGUGCAGCUCAGAAACAUAGGCAUGAUAGACAUCAAAUUGUCCAACAGAACUAGUAAAUGACUGACCGUUCCAACAGAUGGCUUCUCCUGGACACUGUUGGUCAGCAGCAGGCCCCCGGCAGUUUUAUCUUCAGCUACAGCUACCUGUUAUACAGGUACAAAAGCAUGAAAUGUAUAUUAUAGCAAGACCUGAGGGUAGUAACCUAAGACAGAAACAUACACUAAACUGACACCAGCGCACGGUCCAAGACAUAUGUUGAUGUAACCAGAUGUACACAAUAAAUGUAUUCCCUCCGUCCGGAAAUACUUGUCGGAGAAAUGCAUAAAAAUGAAUGUAUCUAGAACUAAAAUACAUCUAGAUACAUCCAUUCCUCCGACAAGUAUUUCCAGACGGAGGGAGUAUGUGAAAAUAUCUACCUUGAUAAGAACACGGUCGCUAAGAGGCUUCAUGUCUUUCACAUCCUCUGUCUCCAGAAUACCUAUGAUAUCGUCCUCUUUUAGGAUCAGAUGGUUGGAAUCAUUCAACUCCACCUCCAUUCCAGCAUACUUCAAAUAUACAACCUGAGCCCCAACCUACAUAACAGGUGAAACAUGUUACAACUGCCUUUACUCACCAACCACUGGUACAAACUUGUUGUAUUGACAACUAUCACAGCAGAAGACAUGUAGUAAAUGGAUGAAACCAGACACAGAACUGGCAUAACACGCGUAAAAUCCUAGAAUGCAAAAAGGUAAGGCAAGUUUCAUCAUGUUAGCAUUUUAGCAUGCUUCUGACUGGAUUUUUUAUAAGCCAAAAUCCUACUCAUAAGACUGGAGCAUACUGACUGUAUUACAAACUAAUUAUCACAGCAAAACAUAUAAAAGGACCAAACCACAUACAACAAAACUGACACAACAUGUGCAAAAUCCUAGAAUCCAAACAGGUAACACGUGUGUGUUGCAAGCUUCAUCAUAUCAGCAUUUUAGCAUGCUUCUGACUGGAUUUGUCAUAACCAAGAUUCUACUCAUAAGACUGUAACAAACUGACUGCACAAGCCAUACCUUAAUGCCGACUUCUACUUUGCUAUCCCCAAUGGUUCUUCCCUCUCCAACAGCAACCACCUCACCACUCUGAGGUUUAGACUGCGCAGUUGAAGGGAGCAGAAUCCCACCGGUCGUCUUCUGCUCGGCAGUCUUGGUCUUCAGAAGCACUCUGUCAGCCAAGGGCUUGACCGUCGUGUACUGCAAGAGAGUAACAUGAGAUAGUUUCAGACCCGGAAGCAUACUCGCCGCAUGAUAAUUAGAGCUAGAGGCUCGACUAAAACGCUAAGUACAAGCCACAAAGAAACAUAACUGCUUCCUGGACUCUUUUUCGGUAUAUUGAUAUCGGUGGUAUCCAAUUCCAACCUUAUAGUCAAUUUGAUGACACAACUGAUGAUUGUUCAUAAAACAGUUCUCUGACCGUUAAUCCUACUAGAACUGAAAUCAAGCGCGUUCGCGUUGAAACCUCCUCAUUGACACGCCCCAGCAUCGGUCCUUUCAAAUUCAAGCAAAGCAAGGUACACUUUCACUGAUUUACUCGCAUCAUGAACCACAGAUAACAUAUUCCGGCAACCUCAUAACUCGAUUUGCCCCCUCUUCUGCAGCCCCACCUUACCAAUUGCUAGAAUACACAUGUAACAGGGCGCACGAGAACCACCACUACCCGACGCGAGAAACAAGCAGUGAAACCAUGGCGCGUUGCACGGGGAGCACGCACCAUGGGGGCGACGACGGUGGCGGCCCUGGGGACGAGCCCGCGGAGCGCCCCCCGCCGGGCCGGGCGUACCCCGACCGCCGCCGGCGCGUUGGCCGCUACCUUCCCGGAGAACCCCGCCGCGCCAACGGCCGCGGCACCGCAGAGCUGCACCGACGCCAUUGCCCGAGGAUUUCGCUCGUAAUCCGAAGAUAAACCCUAGCCUAGCCUACAAGGAAGAUGAGCAGAGCAGAGCAGCGGAGAAGCAAAUGGGAGGGGAGCGCUUUAUCCAUCCCCGGAACUUCUGAUGGGCCGCAGUGCAUCUUUGGGCCCGAUGUGUCCAGAUUACGUGGGCUCCAACGGGCCUGCUAUGCCUGGGCUUAAAGGUCCAGGUUGUCAGCUCAGCCCGUAACUUGGAUGUCAAACGGGCCUGGCCGCGUCUUCCUCCGCGGCUCCGAUACCCAUUCCCGAGCGGCGGAAGAAAAAAAAACAGAGCAGCGGCGGCGAUCGCCACCGCCGACCGAGGGAGGGAAGCCAUGGGCGCCGCCGUAGCGGGGUGGACGGUGGCGGCGGUGCUGCUGCAGGUCGCGGGCCUCUCCCUCUUCCUCUACGGCUUCUUCCCCGUCAAGCCCACGCUCCCGGGCUUCAGGUCCGCGCCUCGGCCUCUCCUCAGCCCCGCUUUUCUCUGAGCCAGCAGGCGGUGUUUGUUUACUUGGGCUGACGCGCGUCUGGUGUGUGGUUUGUCACCCUGCAGUGGCGCGGAGAGCUACCGGGCGCCGUCGUGCGGCCCCGUCGACGGCGGGGAGGAGCCGGCGCUUCCUCCGGAUCAGCUCAGAUCGCUGUACAGGGUACGGCACUGCUUCCGUUUCGAUUGCUCGCUCUGCAGUUUAGUAGAUCCGCCUGGUAGUGUUUCAGCCCAGUGGCGGAGCUUGCACCGACAACAAGGAGGGGCCAACAUCAGAAGACGCACCAAUUUAGUAAUUUAGGAUGAUGGUCUUCAGCUCUAAUCACUUAGAUACUCUAAAUGUCAGUACUAGUUUUACACAUUUGUGAAAAUGUNNNNNNNNNNNNNNNNNNNNNNNNNNNNNNNNNNNNNNNNNNNNNNNNNNNNNNNNNNNNNNNNNNNNNNNNNNNNNNNNNNNNNNNNNNNNNNNNNNNNNNNNNNNNNNNNNNNNNNNNNNNNNNNNNNNNNNNNNNNNNNNNNNNNNNNNNNNNNNNNNNNNNNNNNNNNNNNNNNNNNNNNNNNNNNNNNNNNNNNNNNNNNNNNNNNNNNNNNNNNNNNNNNNNNNNNNNNNNNNNNNNNGGGCGUUGCCCCCCCUCGGCCCCAAUGAAGCCUUGCUAUGCUCUGAUGUUCGUCCAACAAAUCCUAAUUUUGUCAAGGGAUCAUGUCCCAACCUAUGAUUGGAUUGAGAACACAAUGACACACACAAAGUACAAUAGAAAUUGGGGUUGGGUAAUACAAGAUCAGAGUUUAAGACAGGAUCAGCAAAGUAUUUUGGUGCGGAACGAGAUGAAGUGGAGGAAGGAGAAGGCUGCUGCCUAAUUCAUUUUCUGGUCGAUGCCCUUCCAUCUGCUCCUGCCUAAUGUAGGAUGAUUGUCUUCAAUCACUUCAAUACUCUAAACAUCACUGCUGGUUUUACACAGUUGUACGAAUGUAGGGAGGGGAUGACCUACCUUGGCCCCAAUGAUGCUUUGCCGCUAGUUGCAGAAUGUUCUUAUGUCUAUCCCUCAAAUCCUAAAUUACUGCUGUUUUGCAUUAUAGAAUGUUAUAGUGAGCCCAAGAUUUUAAAGUAGCGCAAAUAUUUUCAAGGUUGCCAGAUUUUAUGCUGAUACAGAACUUCAUAUAUACUCAAAUUUAGUACAAGUUAUUAUGCAUUUUAUACUGACGAGCUUUCCUAGAGCUUCUUAUGUACUCGGUUUAAGUUAUGCAUUUACGGUUUUUAAUGCUUGCGAUUUUGUGUAUGGUUCAUUCCAGGAACUUUCGGAGGUCCCCCAUGUGUAUGAUCGCUUGGUAUUGAUGGUAUGCCCUCAAUUUAUAUGCCUAUUACUGGCAGCAUAAUCCAAUACAUUUGUAUGGAUAUUUAUCUUACCUUUUAAUGUUUGGCCUUUUGAGUCUAUGAAUGUCAAUUUAGGUGAUAGAUGGGCUACCUGCUGAAUUUGUACUGGGGAGAGGUGGAAAACCUCCAGCCAAAGAAAUGAUGGAGUCAAUGCCAUACACACAGUCUCUGUUAGCUGAUUGCAGAGCAGUGGGUUAUCAUGCAAAGGCUGCACCUCCAACCGUUACAAUGCCCCGGCUAAAAGUAUGACUUAUUUUACAUAGGGAUAUUUAUUCGUACAAAUGCCAAAUGCUGAGCAAUCUUUAGCGUAUAUUUUUUUCAGGCAAUGGUGUCAGGGGCAAUUGGAGGUUUUCUAGAUGUAGCACUUAACUUCAAUACUCAAGCUUUCUUGGAUGACAAUCUUCUUGGUUAGAACCUCUUGCUACCUUUUCUCCCUAUUUCUAUGUCUUGCUAGCCCAACUUUGUAUGCCAAAUUAGUAAUAAGGAAUUUCUUAUAAGUGCACUUUUCUAUUUAUCACAGAUCAGCUUCAUACGGUUGGUUAUAAGUUAGUGAUGUUGGGAGAUGAAACAUGGAUCAAAUUGUUCCCAACACUGUUCUACAGACAAGAUGGAGUGAGCAGUUUUUAUGUAAGUCCUGUCUCAUGCUUCACCUGCUUUUCUAACGACGAGAUUUGAUGAUAAUUGAUUAUUGGAGGAUAACAUCAUAAACUUUAAAUGCUGAUAAGUUUGGUUUCCAUCGUCUGAAGCACCGAUUUAACAAUUACUUUACAACAAAUAAUCAAUUCAUCCCUGUGUUUUUUUUCAGAACAAAUAAAAAUGUAUACUGAAGUUAGUAACUGAUAGACCAAAUUUCGACAUUUGAAAUUUUAGGUGCUUGGCAUCUCCUUGCCAUCUGCCGGGCUACUUUUCUCUGCUGAACAUAUGACACUCUUUAAGGAGUGUAUCGACUACUUUCCCUUUGCGUACAGAUAUUCGGAUAUUAGGCACUUGAUCAUUUGAUUUGCUGCUUAAUUUGUGCUCAUAACAGUGGUUUAUUUGUUCUUUAUAGCGUGGUCCGUUAUGUGUUGAACUUACUUUAAUGAUUUGUAACUAUAUUGCAGGUUAAAGAUACGGUUGAGGUUGAUUUCAAUGUUUCCCGCCAUCUGGAAUCUGAACUUGCUGCAAAAGACUGGGAUGCACUGGUACAGUUUUACUUUUUAGUGAUGCUUCUGUGCAUGUUCGCUUAUUUUAUCAUUUGUGACAGAUAAUGCUAUCUCAUUCUCUGGAUUCCAACCAUGUAGUCCAAGUGCCCAGCUAAUGUUUGUUAUGGUCGAUGUCUAACUUUCUUUACUUGCAUUAGUUUUUUUGUUUGUCUGAUAAGGUUAACCACAAUCCUUUAGGCUGAUACUGAGAAAUUCCUUUAUUUGACAUUUUCAGAUUCUUCACUAUUUAGGUUUAGAUCAUGUUGGCCAUAUAGGCGGCCGCCAGAGGUAUAUUCCAUAUCAGUUUCAUGUAUUUUUGUUUGAGCAAUGUGUAGUUUGAAUUCAAGUUUGAAAUGACAGCAAUUUGAUGACCCCAAAGCUGAAGGAGAUGGAUGAUGUUAUUAGAAGGAUCCAUGCUGCAGUUAAGAGCAUUCAGGAUAAUUCACACAGAACACUUUUGGUAUGCGAUCCUUUCAUUUCUACAAAAUACAAAUCUGCUUUUCUAGUAGCAUAGAUUUAAUGUUGCGUAGAAGUUUACUCCAACAUCUGCAGGAGAUUGCUUCGAGAAUCCAUUAGUAAUAGUGAUUACUCAGAUGUGUGUCUUAACAAAUUCUGCUUUCUGAUGCCUUUCUCACUUAUGAUAUUUAAUGACUUCUAUGCGUGCAGGGGUUGCAACUCAAUUUUGCAUCUUGCAUCCAAAUCUUCCAAGUUGCAUUAAAAAUGCUUGGACAUACAAUAUUUUCCCGUUACUUUAAGUUCAGUAGUGUGUACACUUCGCUGGAGAACUGAAUAUUUGAUAAUUAAACAUAAAUAGAACUGUAGGUAAGGAUCUAUAGGGUCUAUGUACAACCAAAAAUUAGUGGGUGUGAAAACAAGAUAAUCCACCAAAAAACAUGAAUUGCCAAGCUGCCACAUCUGAAAAGAUAAAGGUUCUACACUAUUUCUCAUAAGGAUUUUUGCUCUGUCCCUACAUUUCAGGUUGUGGUCAGUGAUCAUGGAAUGACUGAAGUUGGUAAUCAUGGAGGAUCUUCUUACGAAGAAACUGACUCCCUUGCCCUUUUUAUAGGACACAGUGUUGAGAACUCAUAUUGUUCACCUUAUGAACAGAAAGAAGCACUUCAAGUAUGAUAUAUACCUCUCUCAGCUUUAUCCUUUCGAAGCUCUAGUUCAGUUUGUAGUAUACUUGUGAGUUUUGAUAGGAAUUUUGGCAGUCUGAUUUUUUUCGUAUAAAACUUUCCUUGGCAAUCAAGCUGAAGAAAGCAGUAAUAUCUGUUGGAUAGUGUUUCAAGAUGCCAACACGCAACUCUGACCAGUGACCUUUUUUUUGCCAGGUUGACCUUGCCCCAACUCUAGCUCUUCUCUUUGGAAUACCGAUUCCCAAAAACAAUAUAGGUGUCUUGCUUCCGGAGCUUUUUAAUUCUUUGACAGGUGAAUAUUUGUACCUUCUUUCUCAAAUGUGUUGCGCAUCUGGAAGUAGAAGUAGAUGUUUUAUGCUUGUAGACAAUAUUGAUUUUGAUAGUUUUAAGUUCCUCUUGGAUGUAUAAGUGCAUGCCUUUUCUUAUUGUUACGUUCUCAAUUACAUCAUAAUAUUGUGAUUGUGAACAAAUUACAAUAUUAAGUACUCUCAGCUAUCAGCUCUGAAAUGGUGUGUGCAUCUUGUCUCAGAUGAGCAAAAACUGCGCACCCUAGAACUGAACUCGUGGCAAAUCUUAAGAUUGUUACAAGAACAGAGACCUGCUUUCUGCUCUGAAGAUUGUGUUGAUUCAAAGGAUGACUUUGGAGCUGAUACGCUUCCUGAAUCUAUUGAGGAGAAGUUGUGCCGUUUGCUUUCUAAGGCUUUUGCUUCUCAUCGAUCCUCACUUCUUCAUCGGGAUUCUAAUUUCCUGUGAGUUUAUGGUCCUAAGUUCCUAAAAAUUUAUGAAUAUGAUCACCCACCAACGUUUAAAAGAACUCUGCUGUUCCAGGUCUGUUGAAGCAGCUGGGCUCUUUGGGACUGCUGUGGACUCCUACUCUGGCUUCUUAAGACAUGCGAGUGAGUGGUUGUCUCACAGAGCGACCGAUGUAAUUUUACUACCUUUGCAGUGUUAUAAUUUUAUACCCUACUUUGCAGUUGCCUUUAUUCUGAAUGACUUAUCUCCUUUCACUGUUUAUAUUUGCAGAAACCACUCUAUUUGCUUGUCUCUGCAAUCUCCUUGAUGAUUAUUUCAUGUUUUUCUCUUGCCGGGAUUAUCUCUUGCAUAUUUAAGGGGAAGUCACAAAUUCAAUCUGAACACCAUUCUGAGUUGGAUUUGGAUAAACAUUGGCACCUUGAUGAGGUUUUCAUUCUAAUGGGGAUUUUGCUCUAUGUUGCCAGCCUUGGUUCAAGCUCUUUUGUUGAAGAAGAGCAGUAUAUAUGGCACUUUCUCACUUCUACUCUCUAUUUAAUAUUUCUCAUCAAGACUGUUCAAUCGAUGCUGAAAGGAUCAAACUCAACUGCAGUCCAUAGAUCGGAAACAAAGACAUUUCACAAAAAUAACUCCUCUUAUCUUGCCAGCUAUAAGCUAACCCCAGGACAGCAAGAUGGAUGCAAGUUAUAUACUGUCCUUAUUGUUCUUGUUGCUGGGAGAAUUCUAAGAGCUUGGUAUCAAGGAGGGAUUAACUGGGUUCACUUUCCUGACAUUUCAAAGAUAUUGAAUCAGUCGGACUCUUCUAUUGUGAAGUCUCUGCAGAGCAUCUCAGUUUUUGUGGUUGUGGUAUUGUAUUCAGUCUCACUCAUGUUACUGAGAACAAGAAGAAUGCUUGUUAUAGGGCUAUGGCUGAGCCACCUUUCGUGUGGGCUUUUAGUUAUGCUGCAUAUCUGGAAAAGUCAGGUCAAUACUUCGGUACCGAUCAACCAUAGCACGACAUCAAUAGCUCAGAUAUUCUAUGUCAUCGCAAGUAUUUCAGUAACUUGUGCUUUUCUUUUAUCUCCAUGGAUAUUUCCAACACAUUCUAAAGAAGCAGAACCAAUAUCCUCCUCCGGCUCCAAUCCUGAAAAGGCGCAUGGCCUCAAUCAUUCAGUGUUCUUGACUGGAGUAACAUAUACAAUGUUCUGGUGCCUUCUUCAAUUGCUUCUGCAACAACCCAUAAAUGCAAUCCCUGUUUUGCUUAUUCUCUUGCAAAUAAUCUCGAGUGUGAUUUAUUUUUCUCUGGAGGAAUCAUUGCAUAGGCAAUGGGUACAGGUUAGUUUACUAAAAUAUUCUUUAUAAUCUCUGUUCGACCACCAUGGUAUCUUUUCUCCAGAUUCAUGGAAUCAUGGGAAGUGCUUAUUUUCACUGGCUAACAAUUGGGCAAUGCAUGGUGUAGGUUGUUGCGAUGCAAUUCUUGGGAAUGACCGGCCACUUUGGUCUUGGGAACACCAAUAGCCUCGCCAGCAUCGAUGUUGCUGGAGCUUUCAUUGUAAGUUCAACAUAAAACUCUCUGAAGAAGUGUUUCUUCUCUCAAUUUCUUUCAGAUUUAACCCUCUAAUUUUAACAGGGCAUUUCAAGCUACUCCACGGUCCUUUCUGGGGUGCUGAUGUUCAUCAUUACGUAUGGGUCGCCUCUGCUGCUAUACCUCGGGAUGGUGGUUCAUAUGUCGGUGAAAGAUAGUACUGAUAUCUCCACUCCACAGCAAUGGAGCAGCGUCUUGAACAGAAUGAUCGCACUUCCCUGCUUGCUCCCUCUGCUCAUCAAUUCUAUUGCCCUGACUUCAUACACCAUUGUCCUGCUGCUCAUGAGGAACCACUUGUUUGUCUGGAGCGUAUUCUCGCCAAAGUAAGUGCUCAAUGGAAUCUUUACAAGCAUAAUGUUUAGUUACUUCACAAUUUAACCGCUCAAUGGAAGGGCCGGCGUCAGAAUGUUUUCACUGUUUGUGAAUUGUGAUGGUUAUUGUGGAUACAUGUUUUACCUGCUCCAGCAUAUAAAUCGUUUCCCUAUGCUUACAUCUGGUUUGUUACUGUUAUCUGACGAACUUCAUCCCCCACUGGGAACAGAUACCUCUACGUCUGCGCGGCGACGGUGUGCACAUAUGCUGGAGUGUUGAUCAUAGCCAUGACCGGAGCUUACACCUGCGCCGUGUUCUCGUUCAGGACGAGGAACCAUAGAGACAAAUCCGUAGGUCAGAUUGACGGCUAGGGUUUCCUUAAUUAGCAGGCAUUGUUAGAGAAGGAAAAAUAGUAGUAGUAGCAUCGUCUUGGUCACAGAUUUUUUUCGACAAAUCUUACUUUGUCUCUGAAGAGUGUAAACGACGCGCUUUCCCCUGGUAUAAUCGACACUCUUUUUUAGACCAAUCUUUUGUUUUGUUCCCACAUUUUUAGACCAAUCUUUUUGUUUUGUUCCGACAUUUCUACCGUAUUUAGGCACCCACAGUAUAAUCAGAAAUCCAUAUAUUAUUAUUUCAAUUCACAACCAAAAGAAUGUGUAUACAUACAAAGAGCCAAUGUACACUCUCCUACUACCAAACAAGCACAGAAAACACAUAAUAAUAAACACGUAUUGCAGCAGCAACGUUGAAUUCUUGCCCAGCUCAGCUCAAACCAGCAUGGCUCCAACUGCGAGGAUCACUGCGAACAACUCAGGCACAUGAGCACCGUCUCUCCAGGCAGAGCUGGGCGCCACCUGCGGCCUCGUCUGCCCCUGGCUCUGGCUCGUUGGUGGCACCGCCACGGUGGUUCCCGCCGGCGGCGACUCGGGCGCCACCGGGGCUGCAAAUUUGACAGAAUCAUCAGUGGCAAUCAACAGCGACAUAAGAAGAGAAAGUUGGUGGGGCGAGUUGAGUUUCUUACGCAGCGGGGGCAUGGCGGGAGAGGCCGAGGCCGCGACGGGGCCCGGAGCCGGAGCCGGGAGCUGCGCCGACGCAUCUGCAGUUCAUCGCCAACUCCGAUCGUCAGUGGAAACCUCAUCUCACACGAAACUAUAGCAGUCCCAUGGGGCAGGAUGAACGUACCUUUGCAUUGAAGCGGGACGGCCAUGGAGUUGCAUGCCCUGGGCAGGGUGACGGCGAGCGUCCGGUUGAUCGGGACGCCGCCGAGCGGCACGCUGCCGGUGAGGAGGAGGCACGCGCAGCCCGUGCUGGCGUUCACCAGUGCCGACAGGGACCGGCAGCAGCCCACCGUCGGCGACGAGCUGUUGCCGUUGGUGAUGUAGCUGAGGCACGGCGUGAAGCUGGAGACGAGCGACGCCGUGCACGACGGCGCCGCCGGCGCGGCCUGCCCCGACGCCGGCGCCGGCAAGGCCAGGGCCAGCAGCACGGCCGCGGACGCGGCGAGCGCGAGCAGCUUGGUGGCCAUCGAUCAAUCUCAGUCACGACUCGCGUGUUUUUGGAGGGAAGAUCAAGAGCGUGGAUCGAUGUGGCUGUGGCGGGAUGCAUCGUCUGUUGGCCGCGUGCGAUUAUAUAUACGUGCAGACUGCAGAGGCGUGUCAGGCUGGUGGUGCUGGAUCAGAGGGUAGCUGCACCAGUGUAGCUACCGUAACUAACUGUCAUCUGUUUUCUAAACCGUUUCUUUUCAGGAAAAGUAGUGAGGUGUCCGUCCAUGGUUGAGAUCAUCCGUCCGGUAGGAGGAUUAGGAAGGGCCCGUCACCAACAAAUGCUGUGCUUUGGUCUCGUUUUUUUUUUUUUUUGAGAUGGUGCUUUGGUCUCGUUGACCGUCCAUGCAUGACACCAGAAAUGGGUAUACCAGUUGAAAUAUAUGCCUUAUUUUUGACCAAAAGUAAGGGCAAAGCACAACAAGGAGCGAGGAACUUGCCUUUACGCUCGAACAAAAAAUGACCGGCGAAUGGGUAACAAAAUCAAGUGGGGCCCGCGCGAAAUCGCCCGGAAACCCCACUACAAAAAAUAUGUCAACUUGUGACCUUGACUAUUGGUCACUGAAAGGUCAUGGUUUUUCAUUUGUGACCUUUUUGUGACAAAAAGAGAAGGUCAAAAGCUGAGGGUCGUUAACUGACUAUAGCGACCUUCUUUGUGAGAAGGUCGUGGACAUUUACGACCAAAAUAUUCCUACUGUGACGUUUUGGUCACUAGCAACCUCCCCAGGCCACGUAAGCAUCCAGCGUGGCAAGCUGAUGUGGCACAAGAUUCAGCCCGGUUCAAUUAGGUGUUUUACAUGGGCCGAGCCCAUUAAUUCAACCUAUUUGUGUCUUUUUUGUUUGUCAAUUUUUGGUUGGGUUCAUGGGCCAAGCCCAAUAUUACAGCCUUUUUAUUGUUGGAUUGUGGCCUUUUUGUCUAAACGAAUUUAAUUUUUUUUUCCCAAAGAAGGGUCCACUAGUCAGAUGGGUCCCAGGUCCCAGUUGUCAUCAUCAGUUGGCUCCUUUUCAGGCGCGGUACACAGGAAUACAAUUUUGCACAUAUAUAUUGUUGAGAAAUUUUCAUAAUUUUGCUGUCAAAGCAGCAUGUACAUAGGAAUACAAUUUUGCUAUCAAAGCAACAUUUCAAACAUACAUCUUCAUGACAUCAUACAUAAAAACCAGCAAUAAAAAGAUUACAAUAUGCCAUUUGGCUCAAAUCACAUAACAUAUGACAUCCAGGUUCCAGCAACGAAAAAAGAUAACCACCACAUCAUACCAUCUGCACAUUCAAAGAGAACAAACUAUAUGUCAAAAGAGAACUGAGCAGAAAAUUGUCAAUAAAAGAAAGAAGAUAAUAUACUCUGUAAUUACUACAGAUUUGCUCACUGGAUACACACACACACUUUGCAUAUACAGAUUUGCUCCCCGCAAAAACAAUUCUGAAUAGUUGGCUAUAAUUCUUUUGAACCGCGGUAAUGCAAUUCAUGCUGCUUAAAAAUGUGAAGCGAAAUUGACAACGGGCAUAACAGUAGGAAAAACUCAUAGCAUAGAUGUUCAAGACAACAUAACAAGCUUGAACUGAUGUUUAGCAGCAGCCAAGCUUCAGCCAUACAAAGUGUAUGCAGUACUAAAAGAAGUAGUAAGAACAAAGAACAGAUGACAUGUUUCUCAAAAAAGAAAAAUGAACAGACAACAUGACUGAUUUGGGUUAGAGGCUGCAAUGGGAGCACAUCUUCAACUCCUCUUUUUGAGUAAAAACUGACAAAGAACAACCUAACAGCUGAGCUGAGUGCCAGCAGUAAACGAACACUAGCUAACAGAAUUGUAAACAGACUAUCACCAGCCUUCCAUCAGACCAACACAUGAUGAUUAAGAUUGCACAAUUUGUAACCUAUUCCUGACCCAGAAAAAUAAUGCUUGAAUCCUGGACACAAAAGAUUCAACCAAGCUCUAUUGGCCAACAUGGUGAAAGCCAAUGGAACAAGAAGUACUGCUUGCCAGUUUUUGAUAGAAAGAAGUUUACAUUUCAGCAAUAGGAGCAAGGUGUGUACUGAACAUGAAACAUCAAAAUAUUGCGUCAGAGAGAGGGGGGCUACCAAAUUGAGCUGCUCUUUCAUCCAUGGUGGCGUCCUUGCAUCCAUGUAGCUGCUGCUGCUGCUAACCUUGAAGAUGCAGCUCCUCGUUCUGUUGUUGUACCAAACGAACCUUGCCACGUGGCCGCGUCCUGCAGAUGCCACAUUGAUCCAAUUAGCAAUAGCUAAACUGUCAGUUGAAUGGAGAACACUUUGAUGCACCACUGGCAUGGCAUAAACCAGAGCACUGGUCCGAGUUCAAGCCGAUAAAUCGGAGUGCUACCGAAGGAAGACAUCAAACAGUGAGUUGUGCUACUUGAUCAUUCAGAUUGGCAAGAUCUAUCUUCCGUUUGAGCAUAAUGUUUCAGCAUUUAGAUCAAUAAUUUCAGCAUUCAGAUCAAUAGCGCCGACACAAACACACAAACAUCAUGGUUCAGGGAUUAAGAACUCUGAAAAAACUACACAAGCAUCCUACUACUAGGCUACUAUUAACGGAAUGGCAUGGAUUCGCAAUGGGAUGAACUUCAAAAUUGCAUGGUGAACUAAUCAGAUCACAUUGCGGAUGCAGGGGAGAAUUCGAGGGGAGAAAACCUGAGCAGGGCAGGGAAGGUGCGGACGAGGGGCAUCCCGCCCAUGGUGUCUCUCCCUAGCCUGCGCCGGCUCCAAGGGGCACCCCGCCCAUGGUGUCCCGGUGCUCGAGCGAGGACGACGUCCUGGAUCUGGGAGGGAGAGAACACGAGGUGAGGAAGUGAGGGAGGGUUGUGAGGGGGAGGAGGGGGAGGAGAUUGAGUGGAGGGACGCACCUGAGCCCGCCAUCCGCGACGCCAUGGCUGCCAUGCUCGAUCUGCGGCAUAGUCGGGGGGAGGGCGCGGUCGAUCUGGUCGAUGCGUGCCGGAUCUGUUCUGAGGAAAGGAUGGAGCGGAGGUGACGGGGUCGCGGUGGUGUGCUGGGAGCAGCAGAUCGUCGGGAUCGGCCGAGAAGCACGCCGACGACGCACUUCCUGGUGUCGAGGGCAACGCGGUUGUAGUGGUCGACGAUGCUGAGCAGCACCAGCGGGUGCACCACCACCUUCUCGAACUGGGCCUCGAGGAGAGGAGGUGGUGGCCGUCGAUGGUGGGGAUGGGGGGCGACAGCGACGGCGGCGUCCAUCUCCGCCUGGAUCGCGCGUGUGUUGGUGCGGGGAGGGGAGGGGAGGGGAGUUGGCUCGUGAGAUUUGGUCGCGAGGGGGCGACUCAGNNNNNNNNNNNNNNNNNNNNNNNNNNNNNNNNNNNNNNNNNNNNNNNNNNNNNNNNNNNNNNNNNNNNNNNNNNNNNNNNNNNNNNNNNNNNNNNNNNNNNNNNNNNNNNNNNNNNNNNNNNNNNNNNNNNNNNNNNNNNNNNNNNNNNNNNNNNNNNNNNNNNNNNNNNNNNNNNNNNNNNNNNNNNNNNNNNNNNNNNNNNNNNNNNNNNNNNNNNNNNNNNNNNNNNNNNNNNNNNNNNNNNNNNNNNNNNNNNNNNNNNNNNNNNNNNNNNNNNNNNNNNNNNNNNNNNNNNNNNNNNNNNNNNNNNNNNNNNNNNNNNNNNNNNNCCGGUGCUGGGGGCGAUGAGGAGGUCGUCGGCGGUGGGUAUGGGGGAGGCCGGCGGCGGGGUUGGGAUGGAAGAGAGAGGAAGGUCGGGCAGAGGGGAGAGGGGGAUCUGGGACGAGGUGGCGACGGCGAGGAACUGAGGGAGGAGAGGUGGACGGGUGCGGGAUAGGGUUUGGGCUGCGGAUGGAUGGCUGGAUGGAGAGGUGGAGAGUUGGACGAAUGGAUGGGCGGCCAUGUCAUCGAUCCGUGUGACAACCAAACCAACCAAUAAGAAUAGAGCACAUAUAAUUGUGUUUUUUCUUUUGUUUUUCUUCUACUUUUACACAUGAAAAAAAAUCAAAAAAAUGGUCUCACAUUGUGCACAAGUUUGUAUCUUGAAUGAGAAACAAUGUUGACUACGGAAUUUUUCAUUUUCUUUGCAUGAAAAAUUCAUUUUUCAUUUUCCGAGUGCCCAAAAUGGGUUUUUUUGUGAAGGACCUAUCAAAUAAUUAUUGCAAAAUUGGACCAAAUAAAUUUUAUAAAAUACUAGGCCAUAUAUAAUGCACAAUUGACAAAAUGGUUGGGUGAAAAAAGUUUUGAUCCACCUCUGGUGAAAAAGACAAACUGCAGCUGGAAACGGGUCAAAUUUGAACGGGUCAAAUUUGAACUGCAGCUGCCACAUAGUUUGCUCUUUAUUUUUUCCAAAAAUCAUUUCUAGGUAAAUAAGUAUCUAUUUAAUCAUAGAAACACCAAAAAAAAUUGCAAGAUUCAACCACUAGCUAGGAACGGUCAAGCCAGCCGUUUUGACCGCAUUUUGAAACGGGCAUAAAAAAUUCAAAAAAAAUCAAAAAAUUGGAAAACCUUUGCAUUGUAUCAUUAUAUGUGACCAAGUUUCCAGGAAAAAUAAUAAACUUGCAGUAUGGUAAUUAUUUAAAAAAAGUGUUCUCAGAAAUGAGCUAUCAUGCGUAAAGAUUCAUGACUUUCAAACCAAAUGAUCAAUCUUAUGGCCACAUUCAUGUCAUAGUUUGUUCAAAUGAUCUCAUAUUGUGCACAAGGGUACAUCUUGGAAUUCCAAACAAUGUUGCCUAAGGAAGUUUUCAUUUUCUUUGCACGGAAAAUUCAUUUUUCAUUUUCCGAGUGCCCAAAAGGAGGUUUUUUUGUGAAGGAACUACCAAAUAAUUGUUGCAAAAAUGGACCAAAUAAAUUUUAUAAAAUACUAGGCCAUAUAUAAUGCACAAUUGACAAAAUGGUUGGGUGAAAAAAGUUUUGAUCCACCUCUGGUGAAAAAGACAAAUUGUCGUCGAUUCAGUUAGAAACAGGUCAAAUUUGAACUGCAGCUGCCUCAUAGUUUGCUCUUUAUUUUUUGCAAAAAUCAUUUCUAGGUAAAUAAGUAUCUAUUAAUCAUAGAAACACCAAAAAAUUGCAAGAUUCAACCACUAGCUAGGAACGGUCAAGCCAGCCGUUUUGACCGCAUUUUGAAACGGGCAUAAAAAAUUCAAAAAAAAUCAAAAAAUUGGAAAACCUUCGCAUUGUGUCAUUAUAUGUGACCAAGUUUCCAGGAAAAAUAAUAAACUUGUAACACGGUAAUUAUUUUAAAAAAGUGUUCUCAGAAAUGAGCUAUCAUGCGUGAAGAUUCAUGACUUUCAAGCCAAAUGAUCAAUCUUAUGGCCACAUUCAUGGCAUAGUUUGUUCAAAUGAUCUCAUAUUGUGCACAAGGGUACAUCUUGGAAUUCCAAACAAUGUUGCCUAAGGAAGUUUUCAUUUUCUUUGCACGGAAAAUUCAUUUUUGAUUUUUUGAGUGCCCAAAAGGAGGUUUUUUUGUGAAGGAACUACCAAAUAAUUGUUGCAAAAAUGGACCAAAUAAAUUUUAUAAAAUACUAGGCCAUAUAUAAUGCACAAUUGACAAAAUGGUUGGGUGAAAAAAGUUUUGAUCCACCUCUGGUGAAAAAGACAAACUGUCGUCGAUUCAGUUGGAAACGGGUCAAAUUUGAACUGCAGAUGCCUCAUAGUUUGCUCUUUAUUUUUUCCAAAAAUCAUUUCUAGGUAAAUAAGUAUCUAUUUAAUCAAAAAUACAUGGUUUGAUGGCGAGACAUCGAGGUUUGGACGGUGGCCGAGGGACCCAACUCUAGAGCGCGUAAACUCGCAUGCCCGCCGCAUGGUCACCGCGUGACCGUGGCGUUGCCAUGUGUUCUGGGCGGCCUAGGCAUGUCUAGUGGGUUGGGCACUCCCGAGAUAGGUGCUAGGAAGAAAAUCACAACAUAAGAUUCUCACGAGGAGACCGAUCGAUGCUCAAACAUGAAUAAGCAGCCAAGUGUUUGAUUUGCGGUACGGAAAAUGCACAUGGCUAAUGGGCAUGAGUUUUGGCUGAGGAUGAUCAGUUACUAAGAAGACCGUCUUCACAAAUUUUCAGCUCAAAAGGAGGAGCCUAUGUGGUACUUGCUUUGCAAACUACCACACUGGACAUAAAUACAAAUGUUGAAGCUCGGCUCAAAAUAAUGAAUGGAUUGAGCUGGCAUUUGGUGGAGGAUGGUUAUUUGGGCAUAGAAAAGCACUGUAGAAAAUGGAUACUAUUUGGACAUGCCAAAGUGGUACUUCCUUCACAAACUGUUGUUCUGAACAGAAUAGGAAAAUGAAUAUUUUUGAACUAGGCAAGGAAGGUUUUUUACAUAUUUGACGAAGAUAUGACCCAAAGAAUUUAUGAGAUUUUUUGAGAAUUUUGGGAAUGACAGAAAUAUAGGUUGCUUCACAACCUAGGGCAAAAACUGCCACAUGGACAUGACACAUAGGCAAAACUGAUGAGGUGGCGCCUAGUCAUAGCAACCCACCAUAAUUUACAAGGCUAUGACCAUCUAUAUUGGUCAUUAACAACUAGAAAUAAGGCAGCGGACUAGCACUGUUUGCUUUGUGACUAUUUCGUGUAAGGAAAUUACGACCUUUCUGACCAAAAUGGUCGCAAUGGUUUAGGGUUUGGAGCCCCCCGAACAGCUUUUGACCAAUUGGUCUGAAAUGGUCAUAGAUCUACCAAUUCUUCCAGGGUCACUGACAGAAGGUCACUAGUUGACAUAUUUCUUGUAGUGCCCGGCGGUCCGGUGGACGCCUCCUUCGUCAUCGCGUGGCGCCGCUCUGACUCGCCGCCUGAGGCCAAAUCUGGCUAUUUAACCCGCCCGGCGUCCCCCAACCGUAGCUCAUCCACCUCCUCCCUCUAUGUGCCACCACCCGAGUCCGUCCACCUCCUCUCCCCUGCUCUCAGUCCCACGCUUUCCGGCAUUACCAUGGUCCGGCAGAAGAUCACCACGUACGCUUGUUGGGGAACGUAGUAAUAAUUCAAAAUUUUCCUACGUGUCACCAAGAUCAAUCUAUGGAUACUCUAGCAACAAGAGAGGGAGAGGAUGAGCAUCUUCAUACCUUUGAAGAUCGCUAAGCGGAAGCAUUACAAGAACGCGGUUGAUGGAGUCAUACUCGCGGUGAUUCAAAUCGCGGAAGAUCCGAUCAAGCGCCAAAUGGACGGCACCUCCGCGUUCAACACACGUACAGCCCGGGGACGUCUCCUCCUUCUUGAUCCAGCAAGUGGAGAGGAGAAGUUGAGGGAGAAGUCCAACAGCACGACUAGGGCUUGAAUUCGAGCCGAGUCGAGCCAGCUCGGCUCGACUCGCUAGAGAUUGUUUCGUUAACGAGCUAGCUCGACUCAACUCGUUAUUAUAACGAGCUCAAAUCCAAGAUUGGCUCGACUCGUAUAACUCGCGAGCUGGCUCGUUUAGCUUGUUAAGCUCGUUAAAUAUAUGAACAUAAAACCCUCAUAUAUUAUAAAAUGAUUAUGUAUAUAUUAAACAUAUAUAUCACUAAACAAUAGUAAUUUCCUUGUAACACAUGAGUCUCCUAGGCGGUUGGGCCUUCAACGGCUAAGCCUUGUGUUGUGCGCCUGGGACAUAGGGUGCUGAGUGACUGAUCUUUUUUCGUAUUAGGAGUGGCUGAUCUUUUGUACCGAGCCUAACGAUUUACACGAGUACUCGUGAGAUUGGCUCGUUUAACUUGGUCUAUAAACGAUCUUAAACUAAAGCUUGGCUCAACUAAUUAUUCUUCGAGUUCGAGUCGAUUCGAGCCGAGUCACGAGCUACUCGUUUAGCUCACGAGCUUCGAGCUUUUUUUCCAGCCCUAAGCACGACGGCAUGGUGGUGGUGGAGCUCGUGGUUCUCCAGCAGGGCUUCGCCAAGCACUAUGGAGGAGGAGGUGUAGGAGGAGGGAGGGUUGCGCCAGGGAAGAGGUGCGGCUGCCCUCCCACCCCUCCACUAUAUAUAGGGGCAAGGGGAGAGGGGGAGGCACCCUAGGGUUUCCCCUAGGGGGCGGCGGCCAAGCAGAUUGGAUCUCCCUAGGGAAAAUCCUAGGGAGACUUGCCCCCCAGCCAAGUAGGUGGAGGAUUGCCUCCCAAUCUAGGUGGAGGCGCCCCACCUCCCCAAAUAACGUGGGAAAGGGUGUGGGGGGCGCACCACCCCUUAGUGGGCUGGUUUGCCCUUUCCCCUUUGGCCCAUGAGGCCCUCCAACACUUGUCGGGGCUCCCGAAACACCUUUCGGUCAUGCUGGCCAUAGCCUGGUACCCCCGGAACACUUCUGGACUCCAACACCCUUCGUCCAAUAUAUCGAUCUUCAUCGCUAGACCAUUCCGGAACUCCUCGUGACGUCCAGGAUCACAUCCGGGACUCCGAACUACCUUCGGUAACCACAUACUAUUUCCCAUAACAACUCUAGUGUCAUCGAACCUUAAGUGUGUAGACCCUACGGGUUCGGGAACCAUGCAGACAUGACCGAGACGUUCUUCGGCCAAUAACCAAUAGCGAGAUCUGGAUACCCAUGUUGGCUCCCACAUGUUCCACGAUGAUCUCAUCGGAUGAACCACGAUGUCUGGGAUUCAAGCAAUCUCGUAUACAAUUCCCUUUGUCAAUUGGUACGUUACUUGCCCGAGAUUCGAUCGUCGGUAUCCCAAUGCCUCGUUCAAUCUCGUUACCGGCAAGUCACUUUAGUCGUUCCGUAAUGCAUGAUCCCAUGACUAACUACUUAGUCACAUUGAGCUCAUUAUGAUGAUGCAUUACCGAGUGGGCCCAGAGAUACCUCUCCGUCAUAUGGAGUGACAAAUCCCAUUCUUGAUUCAUGCCAACCCAACAGACACUUUCAGAGAUACCUGUAGUGCACCUUUAUAGCCACCCAGUUACAUUGUGACGUUUGGUACACCCGAAGCAUUCCUACUGUAUCCAGGAGUUGCACAAUCUCAUGGUCUAAGGAAACGAUACUUGACAUUAGAAAAGCUCUAGCAAAACGAAGUACACGAUCUUGUGCUAUGCUUAGGAUUGGGUCUUGUCCAUCACAUCAUUCUCCUAAUGAUGUGAUCCCGUUAUCAAUGACAUCCAAUGUCCAUGGUCAGGAAACCAUAACCAUCUAUUGAUCAACGAGCUAGUCAACUAGAGGCUCACUAGGGACAUGUUGUGGUCUAUGUAUUCACACAUGUAUUACGGUUUCUAGUUAAUACAAUUAUAGCAUGAACAAUAGACAAUUAUCAUGAACAAGGAAAUACAAUAAUAACCAUUUUAUUAUUGCCUCUAGGGCAUAUUUCCAACAGUCUCCCACUUGCACUAGAGUCAAUAAUCUAGUUCACAUCACUAUGUGAUUGUAAUGAAUUCAACACCCAUGGGGUUUGAUCAUAUCUCGCUUGUGAGAGAGGUUAUUAGUCAACGGGUCUGAACCUUUCAGAUCCGUGUGUGCUUUAAAAAUCUCUAUGUCAUCUUGUAGAUGCAGCUACCACGCUCUAUUUGGAGCUAUUCCAAAUAACUGUUCUACUAUAUGAAUCUGGUUUAUUACUCAGAAUCAUCCAGAUUAGUGUCAAAGUUUGCAUCGGCGUAACCCUUUACGACGAACUCUUUUACCACCUCCAUAAUCGAGAAAAUUCCUUAGUCCACUAGUUACUAAGGAUAACCUUGACCGUUGUCCUGUGAUCCAUUCCUGGAUCACACUUGUACCCCUUGACUGACUCAUGGCAAGGCACACUUCAGGCGCGGUACUCAGCAUAGCAUACUGUAGAGCCUACGUCUAAAGCAUAGGGGACGACCUUCGUCCUUUCCCUCUAUUCUACCGUGGUCAGGUUUGAGUCUUACUCAAUACUCACACCUUUCAACACAUCCAAGAACUCCUUCUUUGCCGAUCUAUUUUGAACUCCUUCAAAAUCUUGUCACAGUAUGUGUUCGUUUGAAAGUACUAUUAAGCGAUUUGAUCUAUCCUUAUAGAUCUUGAUGCUCAAUGUUCAAGUAGCUUAAUCCAGGUUUUCCAUUGAAAAAACACUUUUCAAAUAACCCUAUAUGCUUUCCAGAAACUCUACAUCAUUUCUGAUCAACAAUAUGUCAACAACAUAUACUCAUCAGAAAUUCUAUAGUGCUCCCACUCACUUCUUUGGAAAUACAAGUUUCUCAUAAACUUUGUAUAAACCCAAAAUCUUUGAUCAUCUCAUCAAAGCGUAUAUUCCAACUCCGAGAUGCUUACUCCGGUCCUUAGAAGGAUUGCUGGAGCUUUGCAUACUUGUUAGCAUCUUUCAGGAUUGUCAAAACCUUCUGGUUGUAUCACAUACAACCUUUCCUCAAGAAAAUCAUCGAGGAAACAAUGUUUUGACAUCCUAUCUGCAAGAUUUCAUAAAUAAUGCAGUAAUUGCUAAUAUAAUUCCAACAGUCCCUUAGCAACGCUAUGAGUGAGAAAGUCUCAUCAUAGUCAACUCCUUGAACUUGUCGGAAAAUAUCUUAGCGACAAGUCGAGCUUUCUUAAUGGUGAUACUUACCAUCAUUGUCCGUCUUCCUUUUAAAAUCCAUCUACACCCAACAGCCUUACAACCAUCAAGUGGUUCUUCCAAAGUUCAUACUUUGUUUUCAUACAUGGAUCCUCUCUCGGAUUUUAUGGUCUCGAGCCAUUCGUCGGAAUCCAGGCCCACCAUCGCUUCUCCAUAGAUCAUAGGUUAUAGGUCCAAGACAGGAUUAUGUACCACUCUGAAGUAGUACGUACCCUUGUCAACCUACGAGUUUUGGUAGUGACUUGAUCCGAAGUUUCAUGAUCAAUAUCAUCAGCUUCCACUUCAAUUGGUGUAGGUGCCAUAGGAACAACUUCCUGUGCCUGCUACACAUUAGUUGAAGUGAUGGUUCAAUAACCUCAUCAAGUCUCCACCAUCCACCCACUCAAUUCGUUCGAGAGAAACUUUUCCUCGAGAAAGGACCUGAUUCUAGAAACAAUCCCUUUUGCUUCCGAAACUGAGACAAGAGGUAUACCCAACUAUUUUUGGGUGUCCUAUGAAGAUGCAUUUAUCCGCUUUGGGUUCGAGCUUAUCAGCCUGAAACUUUUUCACAUAAGCGUCGCAGCCCCAAACUUUUAAGAAAUGACAACUUAGGUUUCUCUAAACCAUAGUUCAUGCGGUGUCGUCUUAACGGAAUUGCGUGGUACCCUAUUUAAAGUGAAUGCGGUUGUCUCUAAUGCCUAACCCAUAAACAAUAGUGGUAAUUCGAUAAGAGACAUCAUGGUAUGCACCAUAUCCAAUAGGGUGCAGUUAUGAUGUUCAGACACACCAUCACACUAUGGUGUUCUAGGAGGUGUUAGUUGUGAAACAAUUUCCACAAUGUCUUAUUUGUGUGCCAAACUCGUAACUCGGAUAUUCAUCUCUAUGAUCAUAUCAUAGACAUUUUAUCCUCUUGUCACGACGAUCUUCGACUUCACUCUGAAAUUACUUGUACCUUUCAAUAAUUCAAACUUGUGUUUCAUCAAGUAAAUAUACUUAGCAUCUACUCAAAUCAUCUGUGAAGUAAGAACAUAAAUAUAUCCACUGCGUGCCUCAGCACUCAUUGGACUGCACACAUCAAAAUGUAUUACUUCCAACAAGUUGCUUUCUUGUUCCAUCUCACUGAAAACGAGGCCUUUCAGUCAUCUUGCCCAUGUGGUAUGAUUUGCAUGUCUCAAGUGAUUCAAAAUCAAGUGAGUCCAAACGAUCCAUCUGUAUGGAGUUUCUUCAUGCAUAUAUACCAAUAGACAUGGUUCGCAUGUCUCAAUCUUUUCAAAAACAAGUGAGUCCAAAGAUCCAUCAACAUGGAGCUUCUUCAUGCGUUUUAUAUCAAUAUGACUCAAAUGGCAGUGCCACAAGUAUGUGGUACUAUCAUUACUAUCUUAUAUCUUUUGGCAUGAACAUGUGUAUCACUACGAUCAAGAUUCAAUAAACCAUUCAUUUUAGGUGCAAGACCAUUGAAGGUAUUAUUCAAAUAAACAGAGUAACCAUUAUUCUCCUUAAAUGAAUAACCGUAUUGCGAUAAACAUAAUCCAAUCAUGUCUAUGCUCAACGCAAACACCAAAUAACAAUUAUUUAGGUUUAACACCAAUCUCGAUGGUAGAGGGAGUAUGCGAUGCUUGAUCACAUCAACCUUGGAAACACUUCCAACACAUAUCGUCACCUCACCUUUAGCUAGUCUCCGUUUAUUCCGUAGCUUUUAUUUCGAGUUACUAACACCUAGCAACCGAACCAGUAUCUAAUACCCUGGUGCUACUAGGAGUACUAGUAAAGUACACAUUAAUAUAAUAUAUAUCCAAUAUACGUCUAUCGACCUUGCCAGCCUUCUCAUCUACCAAGUAUCUAGGGCAGUUUUGCUUCAGUGACCGUUCCCCUCAUUACAGAAGCACUUAGUCUUGGGUUUGGGUUCAACCUUGGGUUUCUUCACUAGAGCAGCAACUGAUUUGCCAUUUCAUGAAGUAUCCCUUCUUGCCCUUGCCCUUCUUGGAACUAGUGGUUUCACUAACCAUCAACAAUUGAUGCUCCUACUUGAUUUCUACUUUCGCAGAGUCAAACAUCGUGGACAGCUCAAGGAUCAUCAUAUUUAUCCCUGAUAUGUUAUAGUUCAUCACGAAGCUCUAGUAGCUUGGUGGCAAUGACUUUAGAGAACUAUCACUAUGUCAUAUGGAAGAUUAACUCCCACUCAAUUCAAGCGAUUGCAGUACUCAGACAAUCUGAGCACAUGCUCAAUGAUUGAGCUUUUGUCCCUUAGUUUGCAGGUUAAGAAACUUAUCAGAGGUCUCACACCUCUUGACAUGGGCACGAGCCUGAAAUCCUAAUUUCAGCUCUUGGAACAUCUCAUAUGUUCCGCGACAUUUCAAAAUGUCUUCGGUGCCGCAAUUCUAAACCGUUUAACAUUACACAUUGAACUAUCAUGUAGUCAUCAAAACGUGUAUGUCAGAUGUUCGCAACAUCCAUAGACGACGCUCGAGGUUCAGCACACCGAGCGGUGCAUUAAGGACAUAAGCCUUCUGCGCAACAAUGAGGAUAAUCCUUAGUUUACGGACCCAGUCCGCAUAAUUGCUACUCCCUCCGUCCGAAAAUACUUGUCAUCAAAAUGGACAAAAAAGGAUGUAUCUAGAACUAAAACACAUCUACAUACAUCCCCUUUUAUUCAUUUUGAUGACAAGUAUUUCCGGACGGAGGGAGUACUAUCAACUUUCAACUAAAAUUUUCUCUAGGAACAUAUCUUAAACGGUAGAACUAAAGCGUAAGCUACGACAUAAUAUGCAAAGACCUUUUGACUAUGUUCAUGAUAAUUAAGUUCAUCUGGUUAUUUAAUGAACUCUCACUUAGAUAGACAUCCCUCUAGUCAUCUAAGUGAUACAUGAUCCGAGUCAACUAGGCCAUGUCCGAUCAUCACGUGAGACGGACUAGUCAUCAUCGGUGAACAUCUUUAUGUUGAUCGUAUCUACUAUACGACUCAUGUUCGACCUUUCCGUCUCUUGUGUUCUGAGGCCAUGUCUAUACAUGCUAGGCUUGUCAAGUCAACCUAAGUGUUUUGCAUGUGUAAAUCUGGCUUACACCCGUUGUAUGUGAACGUUAGAAUCUAUCACACCCGAUCAUCACGUGGUGCUUCGAAACAACGAACUUUCGCAAUGGUGCACAAUUAGGGGGAACACUUUCUUGAAAUUUUAAUGAGGAAUCUUCUUAUUUAUGCUACCGUUGUUCUAAGCAAAUAAGAUGUAAACAUGAUAAACAUCACAUGCAAAUCAUAAAGUGACAUGAUAUGGCCAAUAUCAUUUUGCGCCUUUGAUCUCCAUCUUUGAGGUGCGGCAUGAUCACCUUCGUCACCGGCAUGACACCAUGAUCUCCAUCAUCGUGUCUUCAUGAAGUUGUCUCGCCCACUAUUACUUCUACUACUAUGGCUAAUGGUUAGCAAUAAAGUAAAGUAAUUACAUGGCAUUUUCAAUGACACGUAGGUCAUACAAUAAAUUAAGACAACUCCUAUGGCUCCUGCCGGUUGUCAUACUCAUCGACAUGCAAGUCAUGAUUCCUAUUACAAGAACAUGAUCAAUCUCAUACAUCACAUAUAUAUAAUUCAUCACUUCCUUUUGGCCAUAUCACAUCACAUAGCAUACCCUGCAAAAACAAGUUAGACGUCCUCUAAUUGUUGUUGCAUGUUUUACGUGGCUGCUAUGGGUUUCUAGCAAGAACGUUUCUUACCUACGCAAAAGCCACAAUGGUGAUAUGCCAAUUGCUAUUUACCAUUCAUAAGGACCCUUUUCAUCAAAUCCGAUCCGACUAAAGUGGGAGAGAGUGGCACCCGCUAGCCACCUUUAUGCUACAAGUGCAUGUUAGUCGGUUGAACCUGUCUCAUCUAAGCGUACGUGUAAGGUCGGUCCGGGCCGCUUCAUCCCACAAUACCGCCGAAACAAGAUAGGACUAGUAACGGUAAGAAAAUUGAACAAACCAAUGCCCACAACUACUUGUGUUCUACUCGUGCAUAGAAUCUACGCAAUAGACCUAGCUCAUGAUGCCACUGUUGGGGAACGUAGUAAUAAUUCAAAAUUUUCCUACGUGUCACCAAGAUCAAUCUAUGGAUAUUCUAGCAACAACAGAGGGAGAGGAUGAGCAUCUUCAUACCUUUGAAGAUCGCUAAGCGGAAGCAUUACAAGAACACGGUUGAUGGAGUCAUACUCGCGGCGAUUCAAAUCGCAGAAGAUCCGAUCAAGCGCCAAAUGGACGGCGCCUCCGCGUUCAACACACAUACAGCCCGGGGACGUCUCCUCCUUCUUGAUCCAGCAAGGGGAGAGGAGAAGUUGAGGGAGAAGUCCAACAGCACGACGGCGUGGUGGUGGUGGAGCUCGUGGUUCUCCAGCAGGGCUUCGCCAAGCACUAUGGAGGAGGAGGUGUAGGAGGAGGGAGGGCUGCGCCAGGGAAGAUGUGCGGCUGCCCUCCCACCCCUCCACUAUAUAUAGGGGCAAGGGGAGAGGGGGAGGCGCCCUAGGGUUUCCCCUAGGGGGGGGGCGGCCAAGCAAAUUGGAUAUCCCUAGGAAAAAUCCUAGGGAGACUUGCCCCCCAGCCAAGCAGGUGGAGGAUUGCCUCCCAAGCUAGGUGGAGGCGCCCCACCUCCCCAAAUAACGUGGGAAAGGGUGUGGGGGGCACACCACCCCUUAGUGGGCUGGUUUGCCCCUUCCCCUUUGGCCCAUGAGGCCCUCCAACACUUGUCGGGGCUCCCGAAACACCUUUCGGUCAUGCUGGCCACAGCCUGGUACCCCCGGAACACUUCUGGACUCCAACACCCUUCGUCCAAUAUAUCGAUCUUCACCGCCAGACCAUUCUGGAACUCCUCGUGACGUCCGGGAUCACAUCCGGGACUCCGAAUUACCUUUGGUAACCACAUACUACUUCCCAUAACAACUCUAGUGUCACCAAACCUUAAGUGUGUAGACCCUACGGGUUCGGGAACCAUGCAGACAUGACCGAGACGUUCUUCGGCCAAUAACCAAUAGCGGGAUCUGGAUACCCAUGUUGGCUCCCACAUGUUCCACGAUGAUCUCAUCGGAUGAACCACGAUGUCUGGGAUUCAAGCAAUCCCGUAUACAAUUCCCUUUGUCAAUCGGUACGUUACUUGCCCGAGAUUCGAUAGUCGGUAUCCCAAUACCUCGUUCAAUCUCGUUACCGGCAAGUCACUUUAGUCGUUCCGUAAUGCAUGAUCCCGUGACUAACUACUUAGUCACAUUGAGCUCAUUAUGAUGAUGCAUUACCGAGUGGGCCCAGAGAUACCUCUCCGUCAUACGGAGUGACAAAUCCCAGUCUUGAUUCAUGCCAACCCAACAGACACUUUCGGAGAUACCUGUAGUGCACCUUUAUAGCCACCCAGUUACGUUGUGACGUUUGGUACACCCAAAGCAUUCCUACGGUAUCCGGGAGUUGCACAAUCUCAUGGUCUAAGGAAACGAUACUUGACAUUAGAAAAGCUCUAGCAAAAAUAAGUACACGAUCUUGUGCUAUGCUUAGGAUUGGGUCUUGUCAAUCACAUCAUUCUCCUAAUGAUGUGAUCCCGUUAUCAAUGACAUCCAAUGUCCAUGGUCAGGAAACCAUAAUCAUCUAUUGAUCAAUGAGCUAGUCAACUAGAGGCUCACUAGGGACAUGUUGUGGUCUAUGUAUUCACACAUGUAUUACGGUUUCCAGUUAAUACAAUUAUAGCAUGAACAAUAGACAAUUAUCAUGAACAAGGAAAUACAAUAAUAACCAUUUUAUUAUUGCCUCUAGGGCAUAUUUCCAACAACGCUAUGCUCACACCGAAGCGCCGGAGGCAGAUAGCGGGGGAGAUCCAGGCAAGGCGUGUCGCCCGCAUCGCUGCCGGGCUACCUCCGGACUCGCCGGAGCCGGAGGAGGGAGAGCAGCUUCUGGAGCCGAUGGAGGUGGCGGAUCCGGAGGAGGACGAGGUGGAAAAGCCUACUCCGGAGUUCAACAUGGCGGAGGCGGAGUUCACCGUCGCCCAAGCCGCGAAGAUGGCAGAGCAGGCCAUCUUGGAGUCCAACCAGGAUGAGGCCUAUGGAGGCCAACCGGCAGUUCCUCCGGCAGGAGCAGGCGGCGUCCGACGCGCUCUUCACCAAACUCGACGCGGGGAUAGAGGAGGACGCCGGAGCGGAGCCGUCGGAGGCGCCGGAGCUGCAGCUGCCGCCCAUGCUGCCGGAGCAGGGCACGGAGAUAGUCAACAUCUCCGACGACGAGUAGCUAGUGUUGGAAAUAUGCCCUAGAGGCAAUAAUAAAAUGGUUAUUAUUAUAUUUCCUUGUUCAUGAUAAUUGUCUAUUGUUCAUGCUAUAAUUGUAUUAACUGGAAGCCGUAAUACAUGUGUGAAUACAUAGACCACAACAUGUCCCUAGUGAGCCUCUAGUUGACUAGCUCGUUGAUCAAUAUAUGGUUAUGGUUUCCUGACCAUGGACAUUGGAUGUCAUUGAUAACGGGAUCACAUCAUUAGGAGAAUGAUGUGAUGGACAAGACCCAAUCCUAAGCAUAGCACAAGAUCAUGUAGUUCGUUUGCUAAAAGCUUUUCUAAUGUCAAGUAUCAUUUCCUUAGACCAUGAAAUUGUGCAACUCCCGGAUACCGUAGGAAUGCUUUGGGUGUGCCAAACGUCACAACGUAAUUGGGUGGCUAUAAAGGUGCACUACGGGUAUCUCCGAAAGUGUCUGUUGGGUUGGCACGAAUCAAGACUGGGAUUUGUCACUCCGUGUGACGGAGAGGUAUCUCUGGGCCCACUCGGUAAUGCAUCAUCAUAAUGAGCUCAAUGUGACUAAAUAGUUAGUCACAGGAUCAUGCAUUACGGAACAAGUAAAGUGACUUGCCGGUAACGAGAUUGAACGAGGUAUUGGGAUACCGACGAUCGAAUCUCGGGCAAGUAACGUAUCGAUUGACAAAGGGAAUUGUAUACGGGAUUGCUUGAAUCCUUGACAUCGUGGUUCAUCCGAUGAGAUCAUCAUGGAACAUGUGGGAGCCAACAUGGGUAUCCAGAUCCCGCUAUUGGUUAUUGGCCAGAGAGCUGUCUCGGUCAUGUCUGCAUGAUUCCCGAACCCGUAGGGUCUACACACUUAAGGUUCGGUGACGCUAGAGUUGUUAUGGGAAUUAGUGUGCAGUUACCGAAUGUUAUUCGGAGUCCCGGAUGAGAUCCCGGACGUCACAAGGAGUUCUAGAAUGGUCCAGAUGUAAAGAUUUAUAUAUGGGAAGUCCUAUUUUGACCACCGGAAAAUGUUCAGGAUUUUUCGGUAUUGUACCGGGAAGGUUCUAGAAGGUUCCGGAGUGGGGCCAACCUGCAUGGGGGGACCCACUUGAGCGUGGGUAGUGGGGGCAAGGCCCCACACCCCUGGUCAAGGCGCACCAAGAUCCCCCCUUAGAAGGAAUAAUAUCAUAUCCCGAAGGGAUAAGAUCAAGAUCCCUAAAAAGGGGGGAUAACAAUCGGUGGGGAAGGAAAUGAUGGGAUUUCUUUCCUCCCACCUUUGCCAAUGCCCCAAUGGACUUGGACGGCAAGAAACCAGCCCCCUCCACCCCUAUAUAUAGUGGGGAGGUGCAUGGGAGCUUCACCCUUCCCCUGGCGCAGCCCUCUCCCUCCCCAACACCUCCUCCGUAGUAGUAGUGCUUGGCGAAGCUCUGCCGGAGAACUGCAAGCUCCACCACCACGCCAUCGUGCUGACGGAGCUCUCCCUCAACUUCUCCUCUCCCCUUGAUGGAUCAAGAAGGAGGAGACGUCCCUGGGCUAUACAUGUGUUGAACACGGAGGCACCGUUGUUCGGUGCUUAGAUUGGAUUCGACCGCGAUCUGAAUCGCUUAGUGAACGACUCCACCAACCGCGUUCUUGCAACGCUUCCGCAUCGCGAUCUUCAAGGGCAUGAAGAUUCACUCCCCUCUCUCUCUCGUUGCUAGUUACUCCAUAGAUUGAUCUUGGUGAUGCGUAGAAAAUUUUGAAUUUCUGCUACUUUCCCCAACAGUGGUAUCAGAGUUAGGUCUAUUGCGUAGAUUCUAUGCACGAGUAGAACACAAGUUGUUGUGGGCGUUGGUUUGUUCAAUUUGCUUACCGUUACUAGUCCUAUCUUGAUUCGGCGGCAUCGUGGGAUGAAGCGGCCCGGACCGACCUUACACGUACGCUCACGUGAGGCAGGUUCCACCGACUGACAUGCACUUGUUGCAUAAAGGUGGCUAGCGGGUGCCAGUCUCUCCCACUUUAGUCGGAUAGGAUUCGAUGAAAAGGGUCCUUAUGAAGGGUAAAUAGCAAUUGGCAUAUCACCGUUGUGGCUUUUGCGUAGGUAAGAAACAUUCUUGCUAGAAACCCAUAGCAGCCACGUAAAACAUGCAACAACAAUUAGAGGAUGUCUAACUUGUUUUUGCAGGGUAUGCUAUGUGAUGUGAUAUGGCCAAAAGAAUGUGAUGAAUUAUAUAUGUGAUGUAUGAGAUUGAUCAUGUUCUUGUAAUAGGAAUCACGACUUGCAUGUCGAUGAGUAUGACAACCGGCAGAAGCCAUAGGAGUUGUCUUAAUUUAUUGUAUGACCUGCGUGUCAUUGAAAACGCCAUGUAAUUACUUUACUUUAUUGCUAAACCGUUAGCCAUAGUAGUAGAAGUAAUAGUUGGCGAGACAACUUCAUGAAGACACGAUGAUGGAGAUCAUGGUGUCAUGCCGGUGACGAAGGUGAUCAUGUCGUGCCUCAAGAUGGAGAUCAAAGGCGCAAAAUGAUAUUGGCCAUAUCAUGUCACUUUAUGAUUUGCAUGUGAUGUUUGUCAUGUUUACAUCUUAUUUGCUUAGAAUGACGGUAGCAUAAAUAAGAUGAUCCCUCAUUAAAAUUUCAAGUGUUCCCCCUAACUAUACACCAUUGCGAAAGUUCGUUGUUUCGAAGCACCACGUGAUGAUCGGGUGUGAUAGAUUCUAAUGUUCACAUACAACGGGUGUACACCAGAUUUACACACGCAAAACACUUAGGUUGACUUGACGAGCCUAGCAUGUACAGACAUGGCCACGGAACACAAGAGACCGAAAGGUCGAACAUGAGUCGUAUAGUAGAUAUGAUCAACAUGGAGAUGUUCACCGAUGAUGACUAUUCCGUCUCACGUGAUGAUCGGACACGGCCUAGUUCACUCGGAUCAUGUAUCACUUAGAUGACUAGAGGGAUGUCUAUCUGAGUGGGAGUUCAUUAGAUGAACUUAAUUAUCAUGAACAUAGUCAAAAGGACUUUGCAAAUUAUGUUGUAGCUUGUGCUUUAGUUCUACUGUUUAAGAUAUGUUCCUAGAGAAAAUUUUAGUUGAAAGUUGAUAGUAGCAAUUAUGCGGACUGGGUCUGUAUACUGAGGAUUGUCCUCAUUGCUGCACAGAAGGCUUAUGUCCUUAAUGCACCGCUCGGUGUGCUGAACCUCGAGCGUCGUUUGUGGAUGUUGCGAACAUCUGACAUACACAUUUUGAUGACUACGUGAUAGUUCAGUGCGUAAUGUUAAACGGUUUAGAAUUGAGGCAGCGAAGACAUUUUUUGAAACGUUGCAGAACAUAUGAGAUGUUCCAAGAGCUAAAAUUAGGAUUUCAGGCUCGUGCCCAUGUCAAGAGGUAUGAGACCACCAACAAGUUUCUUAACCUGCAAACUAAGGGAGAAAAGCUCAAUCAUUGAGCAUGUGCUCAGAUUGUCUGAGUACUACAAUCACUUGAAUCGAGUGGGAGUUAAUCUUCCAGAUGAGAUAGUGAUGGUUCUCCAUAGUCACUGCCACCAAGCUAUUAGAGCUUCGUGAUGAACUAUAACAUAUCAUGGAUAGACAUGAUGAUCCUUGAGCAAUUCGCGAUGUUUGACACCGCGAAAGUAGAAAUCGAGUAGGAGCAUCAAUUGUUGAUGGUUAGUAAAACCACUAGUUUCAAGAAGGGCAAGGGCAAGAAGGGAUACUUCAUGAGACGACAAAUCAGUUGCUGCUCUAGUGAAGAAACCCAGGGUUGAACCCAAACCCGAGACUAAGUGCUUCUGUAAUGAGGGAACGGUCACUGAAGCAGAACUACCCUAGAUACUUGGUAGAUGAGAAGGCUGGCAAGGUUGACAGAAGUAUAUUGGAUAUACAUUGUAUUAAAUGUGUACUUUACUAGUACUCCUAGUAGCACCAGGGUAUUAAGAUACCGGUUCGGUUGCUAAGUGUUAGUAACUCGGAAUAAAAGAGCUACGGAAUAAACGGAGACUAGCUAAAGGUGAGAUGAUGAUGUGUGUUGGAAGUGUUUCCAAGGUUGAUGUGAUCAAGCAUCACAUGCUCCCUCUACCAUCGAGAUUGGUGUUAAACCUAAAUAAUUGUCAUUUGGUGUUUGCGUUGAGCAUAAACAUGAUUGGAUUAUGUUUAUCGCAAUACGGUUAUUCGUUUAAGGAGAAUAAUGGUUACUCUGUUUAUUUGAAUAAUACCUUCAACGGUCUUGCACCUAAAAUGAAUGGUUUAUUGAAUCUCGAUCGUAGUGAUACACAUGAUCAUGCCAAAAGAUAUAAGAUAGUAAUGAUAGUACCACAUACUUAUGGCGCUGCCACUUAAGUCAUAUUGGUAUAUAACGCAUGAAGAAGCUCCAUAUUGAUGGAUCUUUGGACUCACUCGUUUUUGAAAAGAUUGAGACAUGUGAACCACGUCUAUUGGUAUAUACGCAUGAAGAAACUCCAUGCAGAUGGAUCGUUUGGACUCACUUGUUUCUGAAUCACUUGAGACAUGCAAAUCAUACCACAUGGGCAAGAUGACUGAAAGGCCUCGUUUUCAGUGAGAUGGAACAAGAGAGCAACUUGUUGGAAGUAAUACAUUUGAUGUGUGCAAUCCAAUGAGUGCUAAGGCACGCAGUGAAUAUCGUUAUGCUUUUACUUCACAGAUGAUUUGAGUAGAUUCUUAGUAUAUUUACUUGAUGAAACACAAAUCUGAAUUAUUGAAAGGUUCAAGUAAUUUCAGAGUGAAGUUGAAGAUCGUCGUGACAAAAGGAUAAAAUGUCUAUGAUGUGAUCAUAGAGAUAAAUAUCUGAGUUACGAGUUUGGCACACAAUUAAGACAUUGUGGAAAUUGUUUCACAACUAAUACCGCCUGGAACACCAUAGUGUGAUGGUGUGUCCGAACAUCGUAACUGCACCCUAUUGGAUAUGGUGCAUACCAUGAUGUCUCUUAUCGAAUUAACACUAUCGUUUAUGGGUUAGGCAUUAGACACAACCGCAUUCACUUUAAUAGGGCACCACACAAUUCCAUUAAGAUGACACCGUAUGAACUAUGGUUUAGAGAAACCUAAGUUGUCAUUUCUUAUAAAGUUUGGGGCUGCGACGCUUAUGUGAAAAAGUUCCAGGCUGAUAAGCUCGAACCCAAAGCGGAUAAAUGCAUCUUCAUAGGACACCCAAAAUAGUUGGGUAUACCUCCUGUCUCAGAUCCGGAAGCAAAAGGGAUUGUUUCUAGAAUCAGGUCCUUUCUCGAGGAAAAGUUUCUCUCAAAAGAAUUGAGUGGGAGGAUGGUGGAGACUUGAUGAGGUUAUUGAACCGUCACUUCAACUAGUGUGUAGCAGGGCACAGGAAGUUGUUCUUGUGGCGCCUACACCAGUUGAAGUGGAAGCUGAUGAUAGUGAUCAUGAAACUUCGGAUAAAGUCACUACCAAACCUCGUAGGUCGACAAGGACGCGUACUGCUUCAGAGUGGUGCGGUAAUCCUAUCUUGAAGGUCAUGUUGCUAGACAACAAUGAACCUACGAGCUAUGGAUAAGCAAUGGUGGAAGAUCCAUGUAUGAGCCAUAAAAUCCGAGAGAGGAUCCAUGUAUGAAACCUACGAGCCAUAAAAUCCGAGAGAGGAUCCAUGUAUGAAACCAAAGUAUAGACUUUGGAAGAACUACUUGAUGGUCGUAAGGCUGUUGGAUAUAGAUGGAUUUUAAAAGGAAGACGAACAAUGAUGGUAAGUAUCACCAAUAAGAAAGCUCGACUUGUCAUUAAGAUGUUUUCUGACAAAUUCAAGGAGUUGACUAUGAUGAGACUUUCUCACUCGUAGCGAUGCUAAGAGUCUAUUGAAAUUAUAUUAGCAGUUCCUGCAUUAUUUAUGAAAUCUUGCAGAUAGGAUGUCAAAACAUUGUUUCCUCAAUGAUUUUCUUGAGGAAAGGUUGUAUGUGAUACAACCAAAAGGUUUUGUCAAUCCUAAAAGAUGCUAACAAGUAUGCAAAGCUCCAGCAAUCCUUCUAAGGACUGGAGUAAGCAUCUCGAAGUUGGAAUAUAUGCUUUGAUGAGAUGAUCAAAGAUUUUGGGUUUAUACAAAGUUUAUUGGAAACUUGUAUUUCCAAAGAAGUGAGUGGGAGCACUAUAGCAUUUUUGAUGAGUAUAUGUUGUUGACAUAUUGUUGAUCGGAAAUGAUGUAGAAUUUCUGGAAAGCAUAUAGGGUUAUUUGAAAAGUGUUUUUCAAUGGAAAACCUGGAUUAAGAUACUUGAACAUUGAGCAUCAAGAUCUAUAAGGAUAGAUCAAAAAUCACUUGAUGGUACUUUCAAAUGAAUACGCACCGUGACAAGAUUUUGAAGGAGUUCAAAAUAGAUCGGCAAAGAAGGAUUUCCUGGUUGUGUUAUAAGGUGUAAGUAUUAAGUAAGACUCAAGACCUGACCACGGCUGAAGAGAGAGAAAGGACGAAGGUCGUCCCCUAUGCUUUAGACGUAGGCUCUAUAGUAUGCUAUGUUGUGUACUGCACCUAAAGUGUGCCUUGCCAUGAGUCAGUCAAGGGGUACAAGAGUGAUCCAGAAAUGGAUCACAGGACAGCGGUCAAAGUUAUCCUUAGUGACUAGUGAACUAAGGAAUUUUUCUCGAUUAUGGAGGUGGUAAAAUAGAUCGUCGUAAAGGGUUACGUCGAUGCAAACUUUGACACUAAUCUGGAUGACUCUCAAUAGUAAACCGGAUUCAUAUAGUAGAGCAGUUAUUUGGAAUAGUUCCAAAUAGUGUGUGGUAGCUGCAUCUACAAGAUGACGUAGAGAUUUGUAAAGCACACAAGGAUCUGAAAGGUUCAGACCCAUUGACUAAUAACCUCUCUCACAAGCGAGAUAUGAUCAAACCCCAUGGGUGUUGGAUUCAUUACGAUCACAUAGUGAUGUGAACUAGAUUAUUGACUCUAGUGCAAGUGAGAGACUAUUGGAAAUAUGCCCUAGAGGCAAUAAUAAAAUGGUUAUUAUUAUAUUUCCUUGUUCAUGCUACAAUUGUAUUAACUGGAAACCGUAAUACAUGUGUGAAUACAUAGACCAUAACAUGUCCCUAGUGAGCCUCUAGUUGACUAGCUCGUUGAUCAAUAGAUGGUUAUGGUUUCCUGACCAUGGACAUUGGAUGUCAUUGAUAACGGGAUCACAUCAUUAGGAGAAUGAUGUGAUGGACAAGACCCAAUCCUAAGCAUAGCACAAGAUCGUGUAGUUCGUUUGCUAAAAGCUUUUCUAAUGUCAAGUAUCAUUUCCUUAGACCAUGAGAUUGUGCAACUCCCGGAUACCGUAGGAAUGCUUUGGGUGUGCCAAACGUCACAACGUAACUGGGUGGCUAUAAAGGUCCACUACGGGUAUCUCCGGAAGUGUCUGUUGGGUUGGCAUGAAUUGAGACUGGGAUUUGUCACUCCGUGUGACGGAGAGGUAUCUCUGGGCCCACUCGGUAAUGCAUCAUCAUAAUGAGCUCAAUGUGACUAAGUAGUUAGUCACGGGAUCAUGCAUUACGGAACAAGUAAAGUGACUUGCCGGUAAUGAGAUUGAACGAGGUAUUGGGAUACCGACGAUCGAAUCUCGGGCAACUAACGUACCGAUUAACAAAGGGAAUUGUAUACGGGAUUGUUUGAAUCCUUGACAUCGUGGUUCAUCCGAUGAGAUCAUCGUGGAACAUGUGGGAGCCAACAUGGGUAUCCAGAUCCUGCUGUUGGUUAUUGGCCAGAGAGUUGUCUCGGUAAUGUCUGCAUGAUUCCCGAACCCGUAGGGUCUACACACUUAAGGUUCGGUGACGCUAGAGUUGUUAUGGGAAUUAGUGUGCAGUUACCGAAUGUUGUUCGGAAUCCCGGAUGAUAUCCCGGACGUCACAAGGAGUUCCAGAAUGGUUCAGAGGUAAAGAUUUAUAUAUGGAAAGUCCUAUUUUGGCCACCGGAAAAUGUUCGGGAUUUUUCGGUAUUGUACCGGGAAGGUUCUAGAAGGUUCCGGAGUGGGGCCCACCUGCAUGGGGGGACCCACAUGAACAUGGGUAGUGGGGGCAAGGCCCCACACCCCUGGUCAAGGCACACCAAGAUCCCCCCUUAGAAGGAAUAAGAUCAUAUCCCGAAGGGAUAAGAUCAAGAUCCCUAAAAAGGGGGGAUAACAAUCAGUGGGGAAGAAAAUGAUGGGAUUUCUUUCCUCCCACCUUUGCCAACGCCCCAAUGGACUUGGAGGGCAAGAAACCAGCCCCCUCCACCCCUAUAUAUAGUGGGGAGGCGCAUGGGAGCUUCACCCUUCCCCUGGCGCAGCCCUCUCCCUCCCCAACACCUCCUCCGUAGUAGUAGUGCUUGGCGAAGCUCUGCCCGAGAACUGCAAGCUCCACCACCACGUCGUCGUGCUGCCGGAGUUCUCCCUCAACUUCUCAUCUCCCCUUGCUGGAUCAAGAAGUAGGAGACGUCCCCGGGUUGUAUGUGUGUUGAACGCGGAGGCAUCGUUGUUCGGUGCUUAGAUCGGAUUCGACCGCGAUCUGAAUCGCUUAGUGAACGACUCCACCAACCGCGUUCUUGCAACGCUUCCGCAUCGCGAUCUUCAAGGGCAUGAAGAUGCACUCCCCUCUCUCGUUGCUAGUUACUCCAUAGAUUGAUCUUGGUGAUGCGUAGAAAAUUUUGAAUUUCUGCUACGUUCCCCAACAGCUAGAUCAUCUACUUAGUACGUAGGUUUUAUCGUUUGCAUGCUUUUAUAUGGAUUUGAGAAUCUAGUAUGAGAUAUCCGAAUGCAGUUGUGCCAAUUUGAGGAGUGCCCGGUCAUUACCCUCGGACACGCCCAGGCACGUCCACUGGCGUUUGAGGAGUCAUAUUUGUCAUAUGCGGUUGUAGAUGCUCUUAACUUCAUAUCACUGACAAGUUGUAUUCCCAACUAGAUCAUUGAAGGCGCAUGUUGCCACGCCCGUCCAUUUUUACAGUAGAUCAAUAGAAAUUUAUAAAGUGAAAAUAAAAUCUUCAUGAAGUUUGUCUUCAAAGUAAUGCAGAUUGCCGUGCCCGUCCAUUUUUACAAUGGAAUGAUGCGAAUUUUUUUUCUAAAUAAACUAAUACAGGGAACAUGAAAUUUCAAUUUGCAUAAAGUUACAUUGACAGUGAUGAAAGUGAACAAUCUAUGGUUUUACAAAAAAAGAGAAUUCUAUUGUUACAAUAGAAAAAAGGAGACAUGCAUGAUGCACUCAAGUAAACGAUAUUCUAGUUUUCUUUCUAUUUCUAUCACAUCAUUAGUGGAUGUCCAAAUCUUAGAUAAUAGUAUAAUGAUGUCAACCACUAUAAAUAAUACACAAGAUCAAGAAUAGCAGCAAAGCUCGGCAUGAAAAGUAUGAGACCUCUGCAGCAAACCAAGCCCUCUACCAGUAGCCUAUGUAGAAACGAAUAUUCCAACAAUUAAGCAAUGAAAUCCUUUUAAGAGUAUCUCCAACAGGCGCCCAAGCGCGGCGCGUUAAAAAUGAGAAUACCGCGCCGCGUGAAUCAGGUUUUGCGCGCGGCCCUGCGCUGGCUCCGGCGGCCGCUGCAAAAUAAAGCGUGCCCGAGCCGCUCCAACAGGCGUGCUAUUUUUUUUUCUUGAGACGAUUGCAUACAUAGCAUACAAAUAUGAAGACAGUUCGGCACAUAUCCUGCUUCUACGAUACAAAAUGUGUACAUCCAUGCUUCUCCAACGAUAUAUAGUUCUACUACGUCCACGUAGCCUGCUUCUACGAUACAAAAUAAAACUAAAAAUUACUACUACUCGUUCUCCGACUCACACUCUGCCUCGGUGAUGUCCUCCUCCGACGUCUGAGCAUAGGCGUCAAGGAACCGCUCGUCGCGGAGUCCCAGGACGACGCAUCUCCUAGCGCCAUGUUGUAUUUAGCGACCGCCUUCCGCGUUCGCUUGUCCUCGCGAUAGGCGGCUCGCUCCUUCCUUCUCUCCUCCCUCUCCGCCCUCCUCUCGGUGAAGAACUGUUCCUCGUUGAUGAUGUCUUGCAGGAAGCAUUGCCUCCACAGCGCCAUGGCUCCCUCGUCCAUCUCGGCCAGGCUAAGACGGCGCUCCUGCCUCCGGUGUUUGCGACGAUCCUUGUCAGUGUUAAGCUGCGGGAAAGGCACCAACUCCUGUGCCCGCUCCCGCGUCGCCACGUCGGUGAAGUUCAUGUCCCAACGCGACCGCCGGAGGCGCCACGCCGCAGCAUCGUAUGCGCGGGCGCCAUCCUGGGCGGUGUUGAAGGUUCCGAGGCUGAGGCGCACGCCGCCGCCCGACUGAAUCGAGGCGGAAUAGGUGUCGGACGGACGCACGCGAACGCCGCGGUAGCCCGAACCUCCCCGGCGGCGAGGCGGCAUGGUGGCGCGGUGGUGGCGUGUCGGCGGCGAGAAGAGAAAGCAGUGGAGAGAGCGAGAGAGAGCGGCAGAGGGCGCUGCAAUUUUAUAGGCGUGCGCGAAGCGGCGCGCCAAAUCUACCGCGCGAGCGGACGCUUUUUUCCGCGCGCGCGCAAUCGUUUCCCGCGCGCGCUAGUUUGCCGCCACCGCUGAAGCGCGCGAAACCGGGCCGCACGCGCUAAAAAGCCAAUUUACCGCGCGCGCGCCUUUUGGCGCGCCUGUUUGAGAUGCUCUAACACCGCAAAAAAAAAACAAGCAUUGAUGCCAUCCUUAUCAAAGGAGCAGAAGGGUACAUGAAUAAAUUAACAAAAUGAGAUGGAAGAGGAUUAAGUAGAUAAAAAUAUGGCACCUUUAUAACCCAUAUCUAAGUGUCUUUUUGCUGCUUGCCAUCCUUGAUCCAUCUUUGGUUUCUCCAGCACCCUCUUUUGCUGAGCAUCACUCGUCUUGUACCUCUUGUUAUCCGUUUGUUUCUACUUAUUUACCUGAAAGUCGGAAUUGAUGCAGCUUGAUCAAUGUCAAUGAUGUGCAAAAACAGUGACCAUUACAAAGUUGCGAAGCUCACCCGACCAAAGGCACUCAUGGAAGGUUCCUUGACUUUGCCUUUGAUCUACUUAAAGGAAACAAGUAAGGUGUGAUGAUUAAAGGUGUGAAUUUUGGCAUAUUAGCAAGAGUUGUUUUUGGCCAAUUGGCAGUUGUGUUGCCAAGCCUAAGAUGUUGGGAGCAGCUAUGAAGAUGACUUCUUCUAAAUGAAACAGCAGGAGCGACAAUUUUAUCUUGUAUGACAUUGUUCUCUGGAUCAACAUGCAACAACCAUCCCGGUGCCUUCUUUGCACAAGAAGCCUUCCUGCAGUCAAUAGAUAAGAAAUUUUCCAAUUGGUUCAUGAUAGAUUAAUACAAUCUCUUUGAUACAUUAAAUAGAAUUAUAUGAACACAUGCUAACACUAAAAAAACUAAUCUAACAGUUCAUGUGUCUUAUCAACAUUAACACAUGUUAACACUAAAAUAUAAUCUAACAGUUCCUGUGUCGUAUCAACAUUAACUGUGUAUGAAGCUAUUUCUAACUACCUGAUAUAAAUCAGUAAAUGUUCUGGCUUGCAACUACAACUGAGUGCAAAUACAACAUUAAGCGAUCUAGAUUCUGCAACUUCCUAAUGUGCGGUGCACUCAGAUGAAGAAAUCUUUGGUUCUAGUCUAUCAAUCAUGAAUUAUUUCCUUUAGGUGCAGGUGUUCUACAAUAAAAAAGACAGGAAUGAAGAAACUUGCAAACGGCAUGCAAUGAACAAUGUAGACAAAAAAUGGUUAUUAAUAACCUAAUGCUAAACAUAAAGAUAAGAGGUAUGGCGGCCACAUGAACAAAUUAACUGUCCGACAGCCACUCGAGAAGAACUCACACAUAUAUAAUACUCACAUGUAUAAGAGUAACAAAACAAAGAAUGGCAUCUAAAGAAAAGAAAAAUCGGCAGACAGCUUUUCUUCCCGGAAACGAACACGUUGUAUCUCACCACGAUCAUACUUAUGGUUUGGACAUCGGGAAGGAAAUAAUAUCAUAUGCUAAUGCUGAGGCCAACGCCACGAUGGGCGACCAGGACGCACCGCGUGUUGGACGGCGCACUCUUCUUGGUGUUCUUCUGGUCCGCUGGAUGAGCCGGUGCUGGCGCCGGACCUAGGAUCCGCCCAAGGUUGAGGUCGUGGUCGGAGAAGACACCUAGGAUCUGCUAGUGGGAGGGGUUGACCAAGCCUUGCGGUGGGCGCCGUCGCUGAAAGUCGACAUCUAGAGAAGCAUACUGGAGAUCGAGGUUUGCGUCCGCAGAUCGUGAGAGAGAGGAAAGGUCGGGAAGGGAGACCAUGGAGAGACGCCGCCAGCGCCAGGCGAGGAUGCGAGCGAACGAGAGACCAGGGGUCGUGAGCGGCUCGCGAACUGUUUAGGUUUUACCAUCUUUGCGUCGCACGGGAGCCUGGUACAGGCCAGUAGGCCCAAUUGAGUCUCCGACACCCAAAAAAACCACCAGAGCAGCGGCCCAAUCAGGUUAGCGCUCGUUCGGAUCGGAACUAAGCAUCGAUGUGUUACUCAAAAAAAAAACUAAGCAUCGAUGUGGGAUUAAGAGGUAAUGGACGGCCAAAAAUGCAUAAAAGUGACUAUCCAACUGUUAAGAAGGCAGAUGGCCUGAGAGGGCUGGGAGGCUGCUCAGUUAUAAUGUAUCUAAAAAUAUAUAGUGUGCAGACCAGUCAAACAAGCCUCUGGUCAUCGAAAAAAAAUGUCAAGCAAACACAAACUUCCAACUGUUAACUUGUACUCCCUCCGUUUCUUUUUAGUCUGCAUAUAAGAUUUGGUCAAAGUCAAACCUAAUAAAGUUUGACCAACUUUAUAGAAAAAAAAUAUUAACAUCUACAAUACUAAAGCUAUACUGUAUGAAAUUAAUUUCAUGAUGCAUCUAACAUUAUUAAUUUCAUAUUAUGAACCUUGAUAUUAUUUUCUAUAAACUUAGUCAAAGUUAAUAAAAAAUUGACUUUGACCAAAUUUUAUAUGCAGACUAAAAAAACGAAGAGAGUACUAUAUACAGGAAGGAAACUUUUCACUGUGAUAUAACUGGAUCAAGGACCAUGUAUAAGAAUGUAAGGAAGGAAACUUUUCACUGUGAACCCCCUCCCCCCAAACUUUAAAACAGGGUUCUUAAUCCCCUAGACUAUCUCAAACUGGACAAAAAUACCCCCCAACCCCCACUUUAGUGGUAUGGAGCGGUGGUUUUGCAUACAUGGCGCCUGGGUUGGGCCCACUGACCGGCCAUGUCGGACAGAGGCUACUGGGUGUUGUCUAAAAUGACGCCCCCACAGCCGGUUCGACCAAAACCAGCCGCCGCUUCUAUGGUUUCUUCCGCCGCCGCCGUCAUCGUCGUCGUCGCCGUCGCCGUCACUGCUUCUCGUUUCUUCCGCCGCUGCCAAGUUGCUGCUCCUCCGGCUCGCCUCUACGCGCCAUGGUAGCUAGGGCUCAUCGCGGGCUUCUGCACUGAGGCGAGGCCGCCGUCGUUUGGGUCCUCCAUCCACUAGUGCAGAAAUGGGCUAUAGUCCUGUUCGUAAGGCCCUUUUAGUGUCGGUUCUGGAACCGAUAGUAAAGGGUGGGGACUAAAGCCCCCCCUCCCUAGUCCCGGUUCAGCACGAACCGGCACUAAUGGCCCACCACAUGGCAUGAGCCCGCGCCGGGGGUUGGGAGACCUUUAGUCCCAGUUGGUAACACCAACCAGGACUAAAAGGUUUAGGGUUUUUUGGUUUUAUGAUUUAUUUUUCUUUUUAAUUUUGUGUUUUCCAUUUAAUUCUUUUUCAUUUGAAACAUAUUUUACGCUACUACAUAUUGUACACGUUAUGCUUAUAUAUAAAUAGAAUUUCUCGUAGAACCGAUCAUAUAUAUAUCAUCGAAUUUCUCGUACGACCAUUCACGCAUGCACGUAUAUAUAUACAAGAUGGUAUAUACAAUUUCUCCUAUAUUUUGCAGAUCAUUACAUGGAGGCAUUACUUCGGUAGCGGGUAAUGAAAUUCUCCUUUGGAAUCGAUGACCUGGUCGAGCAAAAAUCCCGCUAUUUCCUCUUGAAUCGCUCUUACGCGAUUCGUUGGUAGGAGUUUAUCCCGCAUGGCCUUCAUCUUUAAAGAAGGAGAUCAAUAUGCAUGUAUUAGUUGUGUGUGUAUAUAUUAGAUAAUGAUGAAAAAAUUGUGAAUAGUGUUCUGGCAAACGUACCCAUUGCUCUCUAUCACUUCUGCUCCUUUCGUUAGUCAUCAUGCGAAUGUUUUCGCAAACGCGGUAUACACAUAAAUCAAUCUCCGGCGUCUGCUUCAGGGUCUUUAAUUGAAUAGAAUUCAAUCAAAUGAUAAUUAAUCAAGCAUGCUAAUGGUAUGUAUUGAAAUUAGAAUUAAAGAGAUGGUAGCUAGCUAGCUAGUACUAGGGCUGCAAACGAGUCGAGCUCGAGCGAGUUGGAGUUGGCUCAGCUCAACUCAUAUGAAAAUUCAAGCGAGCUCAAACUAAGUGAAGCUCAUGAUCGAGCUGUAGAACAUGACUCGUGCUUAGUUCGUAACGAUCUCGAGUCGAUCUCGAGCUAGUUUCGAGCUAAAUGAGGUGGUAAAAAUUAUAAAUCUAUGGAUGAAAAACAAAAAAAAUAAGGUGAAUAUGCUGGAACCUUUGGCAAAAAUAUAGGAUAUUUAACACAUAAUUGACCACGUGCCAUAAUUAGGUCUAAAUCUUCUCUGCACUUAAUUAAGUUUCCAUGUUCGUUGGUAAAUAAAAUGGAGAAAAAUUAUGAACAACAUAUAUGGUAAUAAAUUAUCUUAUUUUCAUUUAAUAUAUGGCAUUGUUCAUUUAACAUAAUGAUAUUCUGUCGAGUUAUCGAGCUAAAAUCGAGCAAGCCAACAUUGGCUCAAGAUCGGCUCGUUUCUCGGUCAAGCUACAUAAAGUGUUCAAACUCGGUUUGUUUCUUUUCGAGUCGAUCUCGAGUCGAGUCAAAAGACGAGUCGAUCUCGAGCAGCUCACGAGUCUCGAGCUUUUCUUGCAGCCCUAGCUAGUACUGCUUAAUUAAUUACCUUGGGUUGCUUCCAUCUCAGCUUUUGUUUCCAUGCACCAUCAAUCUGUUUGAACUUUUCCCAAGCCCUGUCCGCCGGAAAGAAAAUGAAUAAAGGAAUUAUUAAUUAGUUGAUAUCAGGAAAUGACGAACUUAAAGAGGCUGACAUAUAGUUCGAUAAUGAUUGAAAUUACCUGUCGACCAUCCCCUUCACAAUUUCGUACUCAGUAGCUUCUUUAAGUAGUGAGUUCAGUACUUCAACUUUUUCCUCGUCAACUUGAAUAAUUAACAAGAUCCAGUAAAAACUACAUACUCACAAGUUUGCAUGUAUAAAUUAAGCAGACUCAUCAACAAUCCUAAUUAAACCCUUCACGCUCGAACAAAAAACUAGUAGCAAAUGGGCAACAAAAACAAGUGGGCACUACAACGAUACGUUCCAACGUGAAAAUAGCAUUUUGUUCGUACGAAGGAUUUUUUUAAGCUCGAAAGUAUAGGUUAACUUCAUAUCUCAAGACAAGUUGUAUUCCCAAUAUAGUGUGCAGACCAGUCAAACAAGCCUCUGGUCAAGCAAACACAAAUUGCCCACUGUUAACUUGUACUACUAUAUACAGGAAGGAAACUUUUCACUGUGAUAUAACUGAAUCAAGGACAAUAUUAUAAGAAAUAUAACNNNNNNNNNNNNNNNNNNNNNNNNNNNNNNNNNNNNNNNNNNNNNNNNNNNNNNNNNNNNNNNNNNNNNNNNNNNNNNNNNNNNNNNNNNNNNNNNNNNNNNNNNNNNNNNNNNNNNNNNNNNNNNNNNNNNNNNNNNNNNNNNNNNNNNNNNNNNNNNNNNNNNNNNNNNNNNNNNNNNNNNNNNNNNNNNNNNNNNNNNNNNNNNNNNNNNNNNNNNNNNNNNNNNNNNNNNNNNNNNNNNNNNNNNNNNNNNNNNNNNNNNNNNNNNNNNNNNNNNNNNNNNNNNNNNNNNNNNNNNNNNNNNNNNNNNNNNNNNNNNNNNNNNNNNNNNNNNNNNNNGGUGAAAAAUCGGCCCGAGUCACGCCCACAGGUCCUUGUUUCUCGCCAGUUUGGGCCGAAUAACAGCUGGCGAACCAAGCCCCCGGGGGAGCGCCUGGGGGCGCCGGCCCAAGUGAAAAGGAGUGUGGGUCUGCUCUGUCAGCGACAGACAGGCCUUUUCCCGCCGUCCCGCAGUUUUCCCUUCAUUUUCUCAUUGUUUCCCCCCUUCCGCCCCUCUGCUCCCGCCAUUCUCCUCCCGCUCGCGGCCGAAAAAGUAUUCGGCCCCUCGCGCCAUGGCCGCUGCCGAUUCCACCCAGCCAAAGCAGAGGAAGCCAAAGACGCCGAUGGCAAAACCGUCGGGCAUGUCGAACGCCGAGUGGAGGGCGGAGGUUCAGCGCCGGGAGGUUGUCACCACCGACCGGCGAAACAUGCUCAAUGCCAAGAUGGCCCGGGACACGGCCGUGUCGGCGGCGGCGGCGGAGCAGGUAGAGGUGUCUCGCACGGGGAUGGUGAAUCCGCUCGGCGGCCACCGCCCGCAAGCUGCGUGGAGCUAGCAAAGCGUCGCUUCGCCGGCCAAGUUCUUGCUGCUGCCGCCGCCCUGGGGUUGUGUCCCCUCGCCUGGCUACUCCGACGGCGACGCGCAUGGUGGAUUCAACGCCAACAUCACCUUCCCACAUGGCCAGCGUGCCUCACCCUUCGGUCUAAACCCCGACUAGCUCACUCCCUCGCUCGCGUUCGCCGGCCUCCAGUACCCCCAGUACACCUACUCGCCGCCGGCGUACACAACCUCACCGACGCCGCCUCUAGGCACCCUGCCCUUCUCACAAGCCUCGACGCAUUUUAGUAAACCGACCCGAUGGACGCCGACAUGGAAGAGAUCAUCAUGAGAGGCUUGGUCGCCGCCGCCUCCUACCUCGAGUUCCACGCGCAAGAUGACACAAUGGACACCAUUGGCGACAUGGACGCUGAGCUCAAUGAUGCCGAGGAGGAGGAGGAGGAGGUGGAUCCGGCGCCGACGAUGGAAGGGAAAAGGAAGAAGCAGGAGGCAAGGCCAGGACGGGGGAGCAGUGGGUCAAGUGAACGUCCAAAGAAGACGAGUGCCUCGUCGAAGCAUGGAAGACCGUCAGCAUCGACCUGGUCACCGGUGUGAACCAGAACGCUGAUACGUACUGGACGCGUAUCAAGUCGGUGUUCGAUGAGCGCAAGCUUGUCGAUCCCUACUUCGCCAUCAACCACAUGCAGCGCGGCGCAAAGGCCAUGUCGAACCAUUGGGCGAUCAUCCAGACGACCUGCAACAAAUGGCAUGGGAUCGUCGAGGAGAUCGCGGCUCGCCCGGAAAGCGGCGCCAACGUCGAGGGUCAAGUACGUGCAGCCGCCGACUCUCGCUUCUUUUUGCCAUGUACGUUGCCGACACUUGUUCUUCGGCUGCGCAGAUGAUUCGGAUGUUCACCAUGUAUCGCCAUGAUAGCAGCGACCAAGAGUUCAAGUUCCUCCACGUGUUCUUCUGGAUCGAGAAGUGUGAGAAGUGGAGGGAUGUCCGGCGCGCCCUCGCCAAGGCCAAGGAGAUGUACAAGCCGGACGCGCCCACCCCGGGGGUGGGGGAUGGGCACCCUGACGGCAACAAAAGAGCCAAGACGGCGAAGGACGCUGCGCCGGCUACCGAGCGGCUACAAUCGUCGAUUGAGCAGAGAACAACGCCGCCAAGAGGGAGCAGAAAUCCGACGCGCGGUGGUCGGCGUUGAUGAUGAAGCAGGACGUGAAGCUCAACCUACUCCGAACCAACGUCGCCGCGAAGAAGAGGAACACCGACCUGGCGUUCUUGGAUGGGGGCGGACAUGCCAACGUUGAACGAGCAGGUCAAGGCCUAGUACUUGGCGGAGCGCGGCCUCAUCUUGAACCAGAUGCCUUUGACGACCGCGCCUACGCUCACGCCAACCCCAACGCCGCCGCCCAGCCCGAGUGAUGAUGCCACGACGACGCCCAGCAUAGAAGCCACGCCGACGCCGACCAGCCCGAGCAUAGAAGCCACGCCGACCACGCCGGCGUCGGCCAGUCCCACGCCGAAGGAGCCCAUUGUUUGAUGAAUUCCUUUGUCUACGCGUCCUUCCUUUUGAACGCCGAACUGUGGCAUGGUGAUUGCCGAACUUUAUGGCAGAUCGCCGUUGAUUGCCGAACUUGUGGUGUUUCUUUGGCAAUGGGAAAAGACAAGUUUGAAUCUAUGUGCCUUGGGGCCGAAACCUGGGGACUGAACUUUCGAGUAUGUUUGAUCACCAAACUGUGGCAUGGUGAUCGCCGAACUUUGUGGCAGAUCACCGUUUGAUUGCCGAACUUGUCUUGUUUCUUUGGCAGCGGAAAAAGACAAGUUUGAAUUUAUGUGCCUUGGGGCCGAAACCUGGGGGCGCGACUGAAAACUGAAUCGCCCCCGAGGCGAAAAAACCACCGGCGCAUGGGCCAAAACGCCAUCCCCGGGUGCGCUCGGGGAACGAAUGAGUGGAGAUGCUCUAAGCAAACAUAUGCUUCAACAUACAGAUAUUGAAGAACCGCUCCAUUAUAGAUCAGCAUUCUGAAGAAAAGAGCAAGUUUUAUAUAUGUUUGUAGGCCCAAUCUUUAGUUUCGUAAUCAAGGAUGGGAUGGUGAAAAUAGAACCUAUCUUUACAUAGAAAAUGCUUAUGAUAUACGGUGCCAUCUAAGUUCAGUUCAGAUUGUCCAUAAAAAAAGUUCGGUUCAGAGUGACAACGACGCAGCUCCCAGGUGAAAAAAGGAGCAGCAGAACACAUGAUGAGCCGAGCACGUCACUCAAACGAAUCGGUGUAUUUACAGUUGGACGGAACACGGCCAGGUUUCAGUUCAGUCGUACAGCUGAUAUAUACAAGGAGGAGAUCACAAUCGGAGGUCGGAUACAAAUGAAUGAUACAAGUAAAACACACAGGAAGCUACACUCAGCAGCUAGAUCAGACAGACACUAAGGAUCAGCCAGUCUCGUUAUUCACUCUGAGCUGACGCAUGAUCUAACUGUUGAAAGUAACCUACGAUGAUCGCAUCGUGCCAGGGUUUGACAACAGUGCUUCCCACAAUGGAGGUACAGGGAAGUCCGUAUUAUCAUACAAUGUGUACAGGAUCUCAUGACUAUUCACAGGAACUUGGACACCACGCGGCAGGAUGUCCAGAAGGCCGCUGUUGCUGCUUUUAGAAUCGCCGGAUUCUGGUAGAUAC